rnacentral:lncRNA from 1 species
GACUACCAUGUCAUCCAGGACAACCCGGAUGACCAGGCAUCCAGGACGACCACGCCAUCCCGGACAUCUCCAAAAUACACAAGCAACUUGGAUGACUUGGCAAUCCAGACAACCCGAACAUCCCGUAGACAUCAACAAAACAAAUACACAAUAGUCAUGAGAACAAGUCUUCAAUACCAAAGAAAUGCAAAAAAUAUACUACACACAACUAUCAACACAGAAUCAACAAACAAUCAAAGCAGAACUCUUCAAUCUUCAUCAACAAACGAGUGAACAACAACAAACUUUUCAACUUCAUAUGUUCUUGAUUAUUACAACUUUCCAAAGCACUUAUCAACAUAUUUCCUCAAAACUGGGAAAUUUACAAGAAAAAAGAUGAACACAUGAACAAGAAAAAGAAAAUCCUCAAUUUCCCAGCAAUUUCCAGCCGCUUCUACAGCUACGUUUCCUCCCUCCGCCGCAGACAGUUCUCUUUCCCGAUUUUACGACCAAACUCCGACAGUAUCAACCACCCACCAUCAACUCCACACCAAAAUCUCACAAUCCCGGCAGCCUUCAACACAAAAAAAGGGAAAGAAAAAUAGAACAUUUCUUCAAUUUGGCCGAAGCUAGCCCUCGCAGCCUGCUCCACAUUUUGUCGGACAUGGUUGUCGGAACGACGACAUCAAAUCCAUCUCCUCGUUGCUGCCAAGAAAUUGAAAGAUACGAAACAAACACAGCCCCGUCUCGCGAAGCCACACCGCCCUGCUCACUCUCAGAUCUAGAAACUAAGGAGCAUCCGCUUCCUUCUCCAGUCACCGCCGCCGCCUCUAAAAAAGCAGGGAGGCCGACUACACCUCAAGCCAUCUCUCCUCUCUCUCGUCCCGUCGAGCCACGCAAGAGCGGCCUGAGAUUCGCGGCGAGAGAGCCUGCCGCCGCUCACUCCGCCAACGCUAGACCGUCUAUCGGUCCUUGCCGCCCGCUCUAAGGCCGCCGGAGCAACCACCUCGGCAGCUUUUCUCUCAAGAAUGCCAUGUUCAAAAUCAAGCAUUGAAAAGCAGCGCCCAAGGAGGAAUUAACUGCUCAUUGUGGCUGAAAACCCUAACACCCCAUUCGGGCCUAUCAAGUCUCCCUAAACACACAAAUUCGCAUGGGCCAUCAGGCCUUAUAAAAAUUUCUCACAAGCCCACGAAAUGUGGAGCCCAGUUUAAAUAGAAUAUGGGCAAUUAAAUGUUCUAGCCCAAAUUAAUAUUCACAAUCGCAUAUAGUUAUACAAGUAACAUAUUAAUAUUACAGAAUCUUUAUAUAUAUAAAGAGCAAAGUAAAUGUAAAUAAAUUCAAUUAGAAGGAUAUAAUUGGAAUUUGAAAAUAUAUAUAUAUAUAUAUAUAAAUCAUAUUCAUUAAACUACCGAAAAAUUAGCCUAAAAGAAAACUACCGAAAAUUGUGAUUCAAAGCAAAAAAAACUGCCCAACUUACUAUUUUUGUAAAUUUAGUUUAAAAUUUUAAUUUCUUCCUUUUUUCUCAUUUUGUUGAUAAAACAUAUUUUUCUCAUUUUCAUGAAAUUAUAUUUUAGAUAAAAUAUGUAAUAUACAUCUUGAAUAAAAAGUCAUGAAAUUACCUUUAAUUUGAUACUAUAUAUUAUUAAUCAUUUUAAUGCACAAUUGAUUUAUUCAGAAUUAUUUUUAUUAAAUAAAAUAUUUUUAUUUUCCGAUGCAUUUUUUUUAUAUGAGAAAAAUUAUUUUGACAUGUAUUAAAAGAAGUUUCAAUAUUUUGUGAUUAUUGAUAUUUCAAAACUAUCUAGAUUUAUCUCACUAAUUUUUUUUGAUAUGUUUGUUUGUUGUUAUUUGUUAGUAUUAUUUUAAAGUUAUAAAUAUUAAAUUUAUUUUUAACAUUAUUAAAUAGAAUUAAUAAUUAUAAGUUAUUUCAUAUAUAUUAUGUGAGGUAUUGUGAUAAUCCCUUUGCGAAUUUUUUUUAAAAGCAAAUGAUACUUUUAAUAACAAAAAUGAUUUUUUUCAAAGGGAAAUGAUAUUUGCUUAAAUGCAAAUGAUACCUCGCAAAUGAUAUUUUGUAUAAAAAAAUAAUGAUACAUUACAUGAUAAUUUUAAUGCAUGCAAAUGACACUUUUAGAGAAAAAAAUGACUAAGUUGUNNNNNNNNNNNNNNNNNNNNNNNNNNNNNNNNNNNNNNNNNNNNNNNNNNNNNNNNNCUUAGGGUGUCUCCAACAAUGAUCCCAGUUUCUAGUUUCUAAAUUGCCACAUCACUGCCACAUCAGCUUUAGAAAUUCACCUAUUUUUUUUUCACAUCUCCUCCAACAAUAAACCAGUUUUUUAUUUUUUCAGGGUCCCACCAUAAUACACACUCCCUCUAUAUAUAUAUAUAUAUAUUUCUCAAUUAAUUUUAUUUGCAUUAUUAUUUAUAUACUUUAAUUAUAUUUUUAAAUUAAAAUUCUAUAUUUUAAUUAUCUAAUUUAAUAAAAUAAAUUAAAUUUAAAAUUCUAAAUUAUAAUUAAAAUUACAUUGCAAAAAUUUAAAUUACAUUAAUUGAAAGUACAUAAACAUAAUAAUUCAAACUAAUAUUACUUAAUUGGAGCCAUCUAUGGCAUUGAAUUGUGCCCAAAUAUGUUGUGUCAAAUCAUGUUGAAGUUGGAGAUGGGUUUGUUUAUUUGUUAAAUCGUUGUGAUUUUAGAGAUAAUUUUCAAAUACAAAAAAAAAUAUUGUAAUAAGGAUAUUUAUAUUCUCCCAUUUAACAAGGAAACCAAUCAAAACUAUGUCAUAGGUAUUGGCUAAUUAAUUACUUUACUAGACAAAUAGUUAUAUAUUUUUUUUAUUUGAAAGAAUAAUUUUACCAAUUUUAAUUUCAAGUAGUAUUGUUGGUAUAGAAAUUUGGUGGACAAAUAAAUAGUUUUAUUUUAGAAUUUUAUUUUAUCUAAUACUUAUUUUUAAUAAAAGACAACAUAAUGCAAUUUUGUAAUAAAAAAUUUACUUGACUACUUCUCAAUAGGAGAUAAAAGAAUGUAAUUUUCAAAUACUCCCUUCGUCCCACCAAACAUGAUCCAGUUUUCUUUUUGGAUUGUCCCACGAAGUUUGACCUGUUUCUAAAAAUGGCAAAAAAUUUAUCCUUUAUUUACAUUUUCACUUUUUCACCUACCACAUUUAACACACAAAAUAUCAAUUUCUUAAUUCUCGUGCCGAAAAGAAAUGGGUUAUGCUUCAUGGGACGGAGGGAGUACAAAAAGAAUUGGACAAAUGAAGUUCACGAAAAAUUAUAUAGUAUCUUCAAUCCCUAAUCACUUUUUUUAUAUCCAAUUUUAUCAAAUAAAAACUUGUAUACAAAUGAUAUUAUUAUUCUCCCACUUAACAAGUAAACCAAUCACAUAAUUAAAAUCGGAUUUUAUUAAAAAGAAAAAGGAAAAGCCUAGAAACCCUUGAGAGCACAGCAAAGCUCACUAAGGACCGAGCCUCGUUAAAACCCCUUUAAAGAAAACCCAAAGGGAAAAACCUUAAAGGGGAAAAAGAGUACUCGUCUAAAACCAAACAAACUCGAAACCAGAGAACAAAAAAGCCAAAAAGGAGGGAGAGACUUCAGAAACUCCGGCCUAACCAUCGUCCCCAAGCCUCCCCGGACACCUUCCUGACCCAGAAGAGAAAAAGCCAACAGCGAAAAAACACAAGACAGAACAAGACGCCUGCAAAAAACUCGCUUCCAAGGGCUAACCCCGCAGGAAAGCACAUCGCCGACCAAAGCAGCCUUCCGCGAAAGCGAGAACCAACCAUAUCCCAACAACAAGGGACAUGACGUAUCCAAAGGGAUCCGACCUCCCUCACCCCAGCCUCUAGCGCACCAGAAAACUGAAAAAAGGUCAGAGAGACACCCCUGCCCAUCCAUCUCAACACACCACAACCACCGCACCCCGCAGCAAGAACAAACACCAAGACCAGCAUAGCACGAAAAGAAAACUCGCUUCCAAGGACAAAACCAGCAAGAAAGCACAUCACUGACCAAAGCUGCCUUCCGCGAAAGCGAGAGCCGACCAUAUCCCAUCAACAAGGGACAUGACGUACCCAAAGGGAUCCGACCUCUCUGACCCCAGCCUCUAGCGCACCAGAAAACUGAAAAAAGGUCAGAGAGACACCCCUGCCCAUCCACCUCAACACACCACCACCACCGCACACCGCAGCAAGAAAGAACCCCAAAACCAGCAGAACACGAAAAGAAAACUCUAACGAGCAAUUCUAACAUGGCUAUGAGUAGACAUAUCACGAGAAACCGCAAGCUUGAUCUCAUCAAUAGCAAACGGCCACCAGCCCUCCUGCCUAUUUCCAUUAGCCAUAAUAUCCGCAGGCUGAUUGCCCUCUCUAUAAAUAUGCGUAAACCAAUCACAUAAUCAUUCUGUAGUCACUUGAAAUAUAAUUUGAUUAAUUAAUUAAUUGAUCAAAUAAAUAAUUAUAUUUUUAUUAUCAAAUUAAAUUUUAUCAAUUUUAAUUUUCAAGUAAUAUUAUUUGUAUCGAAAUUUGAUAGCCAAAUAAAUAAUUUUAUUUUUUUAUUUGACCAAUUACCAGUUUAAUACUUCUUCUCAAUAAAAGAUAAAUGAAUGAAAUGAGAUAAAAAAAAAUUGCUUGACUUUUCUUGAAAGAGAUAAAAAGAACGUAGUUUGAUAUUUUAAAGAAACACAUAAAAAUGAGACAAAUGAAAUACAUAAGUUCCAAUUUGAUGAAGCUCUCUCAAGCUUUAGAUGAGAUAAUGUUAUAAUUUAAUUUUAAUUUUCGAGUUUUAUAUGAGCUCACAAGUAAGAGGUGCUCUAUUAAGCUUGAGACAAGAUUAUUAGAAUGCAAUUAUGAUCUUUCAAACUCUAAACGAGAUUAUGUUCACAAGUUAAUUAUAAUCUUUCAUGUUCAUACAUGAUAAUGCUCAAAAUUCAAUUAUAGUUUUUCAAGUUCCAAAUAAGAUAUGCUGAGAAUUCAAUUAUGAUAUUUCAAGUUCCAAAUGAGAUGAUGUUCGUAAGUUAAAGGUGAUUCGUCAAACUCUAGACGAGAUGAUGCUCAUAAGUUAAAGGUGAUCUGUCAAGCUUUAGACAAGGUGAUUCUCAUAACUUAAUUAUAGUCUUGCAAACUCUAAACAAGAUGAUGUUUAUAAGUAAGUUAUUAUCUUUUUUUAAGCUUCAGACGAGAUGAUACUCUUUCAUGCUGCAUACAGGAUAUUCAAAAGUUUGAUGCACAAAAUUCAGAUGUGAUAUUUUAAGCUUCAUGCAAGAUGAUGUCCAAAAGUUUGAUGCUCAAAAGUUAUAUAUGGUCUUUAGAACUCUAGAUAAUGAUAUGAUCUUAUAAGGUCUGUAUGAGAUUAUACUCAGACGAUAGAUGUAAUUAAGUUGUUUCUUAUUUGGGAAUUUAAAAAAAAAUGUAUAAACUGCGGCACAUCAUCAUCUAUCAUAUCAUACAUCAAUUUUACAUUUUUUUUUUCUUUUUGUAAAAUUUUCAAUCUACAUCAACAUUUUAUAAAACUUCAUCAGAUAAAAACUUAUAUGAAAAGAUAUUUUUAUCGCUCCAAUUAAAAUAUCAUCUUGACGAAAAUAAUUGAAAUUAAUAUCAUUUCAAAUAUCAUACUACUAAUUUAAUUUGAUCGACUAAAAUCAAUUAAAGAAAUAAAUUAUAUAAAAAUAAUUUAUAUAUUAUGAUAAUAAAAAAAUAUAAAAUAAUUAUAUAAUUUCCAUAUAAAAUUAUAUAUGUCCUCGUCAAAUUUGAACGGGUUUGAAACUAAUUUUUGGAGGUAUAAUAGCAAAGCAAAAUUGGACAUAUUUAAUGAUAAAUUGCACUGCACAAUUAAAGAAUGAAUAUUAGGUAGGUCGUGGGAUAAGAUAAGAAAGCGGCAACGAAUAAAAAGCAAGGAAUUGCGAAAUGAUUUGUUCGGUUUCGAAAGAGCUAAUUACAGUAAAUAAAAGCCACAUGUCGUAACGGACAAACGUUAUUACGUGUGUGCGUACUAGGUUGUGUCAGUGUGGAUGUAUAAUGUAUUACACUCCUCUUUAACAAUAUUUUUCUCAUUCUUCUUCUUCUUUUUGUGUCAUCUUUCACUCAUUCGCCAUUCUUGCUUUCUUUCUCCCAUCCCAUGCCGCCCUUCUUCAUCACAGGUAACACACCAUUCCUCUUCUUCCUAUUUAUUCUCUCUCUCUCUCUCUCUNUCGGCGAGAUUGGCCUUUGCCUCCAUCGAGCUUUCCUUUUUGAUCACGACUUCUCACGUGAUCCUCCAUUUGAAGCUUGGAUAACAAUAUCGGCACGGACAUCUCCGAGCGCUCAUGACUUCAAAAGGUUUUUGAAAUUUACCUCCAACUAGGAGGUAAUUUCUCUAUGAUGAUUGCAACGAGCAAUGCAUCCGCCAAGGGCAUCCCUUCGGCUUGAACCUCAUGUGAAAGAUUUUGGAACUCUUCCACUUGGUCCAUCAAUGGUCGGGAGUCAACCAUUUUAUAUUCCAACCAUUUGGCAACGACAUACUUGGUAGUAUUCGCCUUGUCCACUUGAUACUUUAGAUCAAGGGCCUCCCACAAUUGUUUCGCGGUUUCAUGAACCUUGAAAACACGGUAGAGCCGUUCGUCCAGAGACAUGAGAACGGUGUUACGGCACAAGUAGUCGCCGCGACACCAGUUCAAAUAUCCGGCACGAAUUUCUUGGCUUGUCUCCCCUUCCCCUUCACUCGGGGUUGGAGGUUUAUCCUCCAUCAAGAAUCCGGCAAACCCCACGGUUGUGAGGUAGAAUAGCAUCUUCUCUUGCCAAUAUUUGAAGUUCUUGCCUGAGAACGUUGAUGGUUUCUCGGCAAGACCAAUAGUUCUAGAUGUUGACGAUGAAGCCCCCGUUGAUGCAAACGAGGAAAAUAUUGACGACGUGGUUGAACCGAUGGUUGCAGAGGUGGUGGAGCCGUCCAUAUUGACGUCGGUGUGAGCCAUUUCUUGAACGUGUAUCAACGGCAGAGAAAAUAAUCUUCUUGCGAUUGUUAGAACCGGGUACACGAUCGAGAUAUUACAAAAUAUUUAUUUUGAGAAAUUACGACUCAAAAUAAUUGAAAUAUUACAAAGUAAAUAAUUUGAGAAAUUACAACUCAAAUAAUUUGAUACAACUGAAAUACACUGUAUAAAUAAAUUAUACGUAUAAACAAAGUCGAGUCGAGAUGAAUCUCUUCCCGCAAGAAGAUUAUCGCCCCGGUAGUGCUCUUCGGUUUGGCGUAUCUUCCCCAAAGGUAAAACGACUACGUCUCGGCGGAUGUAGCACCACAAUCCGGCGAGCUCCGGCGAACUUAACAGGAUCAAGAACUGAGCACAAGUGUUUGCAGAGAGUUGCAGAGAGAAUGGCAGAAUGCAGAAAUUUGUUGGUGUUGUUCGUACUUUCUGCAUGCUCUCCACAAGUCUAUUUAUAGACAUGUGGUAAGUAUGAAUUCAAUACCUUGAAUUCCACUCCUACGGCUGGAAGGUUGAAGAUGUGGCCGGUGGGCGCAGAAGUCGUACUGGCGUGCUGAAGUUGCCAUGCAGAAGUCGUACUGGCGUGCUUCUGCUUCCAGCUUCUGCUGCUGCUGCUGAUUUGUUCUGCUGCUGUGACUGUUGCUGUGGGCUUGGGAAUUAAUUCAGUUGGGCCAAGAAAAUAAUUCUGUUGGGCCAAAAAUUAAAAGCCCAAUGGAGUUGGUCCAAAAAAUAGUUUGGGCCCCAAACACCACCCCAAAGCACCAAUUGCCAAGAUCCAAGUCCUUGGCCGCGGCCCGUACCCGACCCGCCCGUCCGGCGGCGGCGGCGACGUCGUCCGUCCGUCCGUCCGUCCGAUCGAUCGUCGGCGGCGGCGCGCGUGUGUGUGUGCGCGCGAGGCUAGUACUUAGAUCAAGCCCACUAGCAAGCCCACAAGUCAAUUUAUCAACUCCAUGUGCUUUGCUAUUCUUAUACAUGAAAAACAUCUCUAUGUUUUCCAAUGUGGGAUAACAUAACAAAUGUUAUUUUCCCUCUUCAACAUCCAAACUUUGACAUACAAUAUCUCACUCAUCGGAAAUCGGUUUUGAGACUUCAAGUAUAUCACGUUGAUCUACUCAAGAUGUAGAAUAACAUCCAAUCAUUAUUUUAAUUAAAUAAUAAAUAUUUAAUUAAAUAAUAUUUUCCAGAUAUGGCUUUAAAACCAUAUUUCCAAAACCAUAUUUCCAACAUUGCUAUGAUUCACAAUCUGCAAUGAAUUUCCUAUAAGAUGCUAGUGCAGUCUAAAUUUUCUUCCAAUUAUGCACUAGCAAUAUAGUUCUUGUCUGAAUUAUCUUCUUUACUGGUCAUUAAUUAGAUUGCAGAUGAGAGUCUGUCUGUAUUCGGUGCAAGUUGUUGAUUUGCAUCAAGACGGCUGAAUCGCUUCACUUCUGCAGGUUCAUGUAGGACUUGGUAUUUGUUAGAAGAAUCUCACAACUUAUAUCUCUAGUCCAUAACAAUACCCUCAUCUCUUGGAAGCCAAGUUUUACAAAAACUUGCUUUUGUUUAGUUGUACGAAACAAUCUCGAAGAGAGCAGCGCUUGGUUUACAGUUUUGAAACAAUAUGAGGCAAGCAGUAGCCUUCUUCACGGUACUCUUGUCUAUUGGGGGUUUCCUCUUGACAUGUAAUUUUGUGUCUAUGAUUGUACGUUACCAGAAAACCGGUCCUAUAAAAUUGGCAUCCAAUGAGAACCGGAAUAAACUUGUGAUGGAUCCUCUGGUUGAGAUGCCAGAGCAUGUGAAAAGAUCGAGGGUUGAAAGGCGACCUUUUCAUGUCGCCCUCACAGCCACCGAUAGGCCUUACAGCAAAUGGCAGUGCCGUAUAAUGUACUACUGGUACAAGAAGAAGAAGGAUUUGGGUGGAUCAAAUAUGGGUAAGUUCACUAGAAUUCUUCAUUCUGGGAGUGCAGACAACCUUAUGGACGAGAUUCCCACAGUCGUGGUUGAUCCUCUUCCCCCAGGUUUGGACCAGGGUUAUGUUGUCUUAAAUAGGCCUUGGGCUUUUGUGCAAUGGCUGGAGAAGUCGACAAUUGAAGAAGAGUGAGUUUGUUCUCUCUUGAAAUUCAUAGUUGUCUUAAAUAGGCCUUGGGCUUUUGUGCAAUGGCUGGAGAAGUCGACAAUUGAAGAAGAGUGAGUUUGUUCUCUCUUGAAAUUCAAGGUACGAUCAAGUUCAAAACAAUUCCUCAUUUUCUUCUGCUGCUGCAGAUAUAUAUUGAUGGCAGAACCUGAUCAUAUAUUUCUAAAACCACUGCCUAGUUUGGUUUACGAAGAAUAUCCUGCAGCAUUCCCCUUUUUCUAUAUCAAACCUGCAGAAAAUGAGAAAAUCAUUCGCAAGUUUUUCCCCGAGGAGAUGGGUCCAGUAUCAAAUAUUGAUCCCAUUGGAAAUUCUCCAGUUAUAAUUAAAAAGGUGCAUAUAACAUGUUUGUAAUUGUUGCUUCACAUUUGCUUCUCAAAUUGGACUAAGUAAUGAUGUUAUGUGGUCAGGAUUUGCUGGAGAAAAUUGCACCUACCUGGAUGAAUGUCUCUUUGAAAAUGAAAAAUGAUCCGGAGACGGAUAGUACGUUUGGAUGGGUGUUGGAAAUGUGAGCACAUUUUAGAAGCAUCGACUAUGUAGUUUGAGUUCAAACUUGAUUUACCAUAUUUUCUAAGCCUUGUUGUGGUUCACUGUCAAUCAAAAGGUAUGGGUAUGCUGUGGCCUCUGCUCUUCACGGGGUGCAGCAUAUUCUUCGGAAAGACUUCAUGUUGCAGGUUUUGCUUCUCAACCAGAAUCGUUCACGUACCAUUAGGAGGUUCAAAAUCUUAUCUGAUUUAAAUGGCAUUGCAUUCUUAAUUUCAGCCGCCUUGGGACUUGGAAACGAAAAACAAGUUUAUUCUUCAUUACACUUAUGGGUGUGACUACAGCUUAAAGGUAGAGUGGGUUUAAUUAGUUUUUUCUGAUAUUAACAAUAGAUUUUGUAAUGAAAAAAACAGCAAAAUAUUUACAGAACUGCCCCUGAACAUGACAAGGAAAUUGUGGACUUAUUUUUCUUGUUUAUACUUGAGUCUUAUAGACAUGAGUACUUCCAUUUGGAGUAUAGUGAAGAUAAUAAAGCUAUAUAUUUCUUGGUAUACAUUAGAUUUCUCAUGAUAUCGGCCAUGUUCAGGGUGAAUUAACUUACGGCAAAGUUGGAGAGUGGCGUUUUGAUAAGCGAUCCUAUCUUGAUGCACCUCCACCUCGAAAUCUGCCGUUGCCUCCUCCUGGUGUCCCUGAAAGUGUGGUAUGGCAUCAGUCAUUUUCAUGCAAUAAUAUCUUUAAUUUUCUCAAUACUUGAAUUAAGAAAUUUACAAAAUGCAGUGUCCUUAUUUCCCGUUUUUCAUUUGAAUGGUUUCUUUGUUGCUUGUUUGCCAUUGCUCUGAUGCUUAUAUUUAUCGCUAUUCCCUUGUUUCUUGUUUACUUUUGAGUGUAUGCAUUCAAGAUUUCAUCAUACUUGAGUAUAUGAUCAGAAACAAUGAGAUUGAAGACAGAAAAUUAUAGCCAAUUUUUUAAAAAAUCUAUAGAUAACAACAAUGAAUAACCUUAUAGUAUAAGAUAAAUAAAUCUAAACCAAUCAAUGUUGCUUCUAGUUAGAUAUUGCUUAGCUAGUGUGGUAGUUUUCCCUGAAAAUUAAAACAUAAAUUCACAAUGACAUGCAGAAGUUUACUAUCACCGAUUGAUUUCUAAAUCAGUAGCUUAUUUUCUCUGUUUUUUCUCAAUGUGAUACGGUGUUAUUGUGUGGAAAAUUGUUGUUAUAGUUUUAUAGCCAUCACCAUUCCUGCCUGUAGUCACAUCUGAUAUAUAGUGUCGUAUGGAACGAACUUGAUUGGUUCCCGGAAGCCUGGUAGAUCAUCGUUAACAAAAUGAGAAAACCUGAACACGGCAAUAUAAGUGGGGAUUGAGGAAUAUUGCUUAACUAGAAACCAACAAACAAUUAAAUUUUCUCCCACUUUCUUGUUUACUUGCAUCAGAAAUACUAGUAGUCAAAAUCAGGCCAUAUAACUUCCUGAAAUAUCAUGCAUUUUUCUUGUUUCUGAGCCAUAGCCAAGAAGGUAUGUAGCUGCCCGAUUAUUCAAUUGAACCAUGUUCGUCUCUGCAGGUUACUCUUGUAAGGUUGGUGAACGAAGCUACCGCUAACCUUCCCAAUUGGGAAACAACAGAAGAAGUUAAGAAUAACUCUAGUUUUCGGAGAAGUUGACAUCGAUCAACCUUGCAUUUUGGUUCACAAUGGUAAUGUAGGAGAAAUAACCGGGCGUCGAGGCGCAUAGUUUCUGAGUAGCUAUGUAAGGCUUUUUAAGUGUUCUUCUCCACAGUGCUUGCAGUUUCUGAUCAGGUAGCAGCUACAGAUUUUUUUCACUUGGCCGGCCAGUUAGAAUUUUUACUGAUAUAUAUUUCCUUAUUCUAUGUGAAUAUGAAGUGGCCCAUUUAUGUAACAAUUUAAUCUUCGGUUGAUAUAACUUGGUAAGUGUCCAAGUCAUUUUAUUUGAGUUUGUAUGAAUUAUCAUUAUGAGAAUAAUAUAUUGCAUCGCAUGCAUGUUCUUUUGUUGUAUAUAUGUUGUGUUGUGCCUAUAGUGGAGCAAAUAGAGUAAGUGGCCAUUACCACUUAUUGUAAUUUGAGAGUGGUAUGUGUUGUUGUUGAUAGGACAGUUCUAGCCGACAUGAACAAUAUUUUGAAAAAAAAUUAAAAAUAAUAAUAAUAAUCAAUUUUUCCCAAAAAAAAAACAAAUAUAUUUAUUGGGGAAAACAAAAGGCUCUGGGCAAACAAACAGUUGAAAACGACGCUCGGACAGCUCUACAUGUAAUUAGCAGUUACUACUCGUCCACGAAAAAGUGCCCUACUUACCCCUUUUUUUUUAGUCCACGAAAAAGUGCCCUGUUUACCUUUUUGUACAUUCAUACCCUUUACUUUUCAAUUUAUUUACAACUUAUGUCAUUAAUAAAUCCACACUUUUAUUUAAUCUAUGCAAUUAACCCACACAAUUAAUCCCAUUUAUUUAUUUAUUUUCUUAAUUUUCAGUUUAUUUAUUUUCUGAAUUUCAAGUUUAUUUAUUUAUUUAUUUAUUUAUUUAUUUCCAGUUUAUUUAUUUAUUUUCUGAAUUUUCAGUUUAUUUAUUUAUUUAUUUAUUUCCAGUUUAUUUAUUUUCCAUUUUAUUUAUAUAUUUAUUUUCUGAAUUUUCAGUUUAUUUAUUUAUUUAUUUUCUGAAUUUCAAGUUUAUGUAUUUAUUUAUUUUUGAAUUUUCAGUUUAUUUAUUUCCAGUUUAUUUAUUUAUUUAUUUUCUGAAUUUUCAGUUUAUUUAUUUAUUUAUUUAUUUAUUUCCAGUUUAUUUAUUUUCCAGUUUAUUUAUUUAUUUAUUUUCGAAUUUUUAGUUUAUUUAUUUCCAUUUUAUUUAUUUAUUUAUUUAUUUCCAGUUUAUUUAUUUAUUUUCUGAAUUUUCAGUUUAUUUAUUUUCCAUUUUUUUUAUAUAUUUAUUUUCUGAAUUUUCAGUUUAUUUAUUUAUUUAUUUUCUGAAUUUUCAGUUUAUUUAUUUAUUUAUUUUCUGAAUUUUCAGUUUAUUUAUUUCUAGUUUAUUUACUUAUUUAUUUAUUUAUUUAAUUAUUUCCAUUUUAUUUAUUUUCCAUUUUAUUUAUAUAUUUAUUUUCUGAAUUUUCACCUAAUAAAAUAAUGCCAAAUAGUUAGUGCAAGAUUAGUAAAAGUAACCACAAUAUAUUAACACUACCCUUUUAGUCUUUUACACCACCUUUACACCACCUUUUUCAGCUUUCUUAAAACCCGUGCCAGCACCCAAAUGGGACACUUUUUCGUGGACGGAGGGAGUAUAUUUUAUUGAGCAUGUAGUUUUCUGUUAACUUUAGUUGAGUUAGCCUCCCAAUACUAAUCCACCCUCAAAAUUCAUGUUUAGUUUCGCCCCCUUAAAAAUAAAUAGAGAUUAAUGAUAAAUUUUACCCACUCUCGAAAACAAAAAAUACAAAUUAUUUUUUUACCCAUUCUCAAAAAUAAAAACAAAAAAUACCCACUAUAAAAGAAAAUUAUAAAAACUACUCAUUUUGAGCUUGAAAUGACAAAGUUACACUUACUUAAUUCAUAAAAAAUGCUGAAAUCACGAACUUUGCUCGACAUGCUCGACUAAUGCACGCCGAGCAUGUCGAGCAUCAGUGGUAAAUACACUAAUGCUCAACAUGCAUUAGUCGAGCAUUAUGUAUGUGUGAUAAAUUUAUUAAUGGCUCGACUUCUGCGAGUCGAGCAAUAGUGAUAAAUACUCUAAUGCUCGACAUGCUCAACCAUUGCGAGUCGAGCAAUCAAGCAUUUGUAGUCGAUCACUCUUAGAAAAUUAACUAAUGCUCGACAUUUAUCGUUUACAAGUCAAGCAUCAGUGCAAAAUACACUAAUGCUCGAUAUAAGGGCAAAAAUAUCCUAAAUGGGUAUAUUUUUAUGUUUUAUAAAAGGUGGGUAUUUUUUAGGUUUUGUCUUUCAGAAUGGGUAUAUUUGUCCCCAAUAUUUAUUACUACUAAAAAAAUUCUAAAAAUUAUUCAUUUUGAGUUUAAAGAAAAAAUUAUUUUUACUUAGAGCAUCCACAGUGGGGGUGACCGUGAUAGUUGACUUGAUAGAGGGGGGACCACAUUGGGUCAAGGAGGCUGCAGUGGGAUGACAUGAUAGCUGACCUGAUGCUUUUAGUUUUGUAUUUUUAUAUUUUUCAUUUAAAUUUAAUUGCACAAAUUUAAAUAACACAAUUUACUUCAAAUUUAAAUUGCAUUAAUUUUAAAAUUCUAAAAAUUACAUUAAAAAAUUACAUAAAUCUUAAAAAUUUUAAGACAUAUCCUAAAAUAACUAUUCCGUCGCUAGAGGUCCGAAACGUGCUCGAUCAAAUCACGUUGAAGCUGAGCAUGUAUCUGUCUAUCUCGAAAAAUUGCAUUUAUUUGUACGUAUUCCUCGAAGCAAACCGGUGUUGCUCGAGCACUCUCAGACGAGUCACUGUUAGACGCCCCGUGUCCUGCGUCGUCAUCUGUCCAAUGGGCAGCUAUUUCACCUUCUUUCUCAACAAUCAUGUUGUGGAGAAUGAUGCAACACAUCAUGAUUUCCUUGAGAUUGUCGACGUACCAACCCCGCGCCGGAAUUUGAAUGAUUCCUCAUCGAGCUUGAAGCACUCCAAAGGCACGUUCAGCAUCCUUCUGUGCCGAUUCUUGCAUCUUCUUGAACCUCGCCUCCUUUGAUUGGUCGCCAUCGGGACUCUUGACGAAGCAGCGCACUCCGGAUAUAUGCCGUCGCACAAAUAGUAGCCCAUCUGUAGUAGCGCCGGUUAGCCUCAAAGACCACCGGUGCCGCCGUUCCAUCCAACACGUCAGAGAAGAGAGGCAAGUGGUUCAGAAAUUGAUGUCGUUGUUCGAACCAGCGACACGAAGAAGGCAUGCCAAAUCCACAGAUCUGGAUGCAACGCCUCCAAGAUCAAGGUGGGCUCCCCUUGAUCACCGCGUGUAUAUGCGUUGCCACGCCUUUGGGCAAUUCUUCACGCCAAUGCAUACAAUCAAGACUCCCGAGCAUCCCGAAAUCCGUGUCGCCUCGUGCAUCUGAAGAAGGCGUUGGAUGUCCGCCUGCGUAGGACGUCGAAGAUACUCGGCUCUGAAAGCCCGGAUGACUGCCUUGCAGAAUCUCUUGAGGUAUAGACGCCCCGUCGUGUCGGCGACCUUGAGAUACUCGUCGAAAGUAUCCGCACUGACGCCGGUGGCUAAUUGGCUGAAAGCCGCCGUGUAUUUCUGCAAAGGCGUGAGAGAGUCCCGACCUUGUGCAUCAUGGCUCAUCUGGAAAUAAGUAUCUUCACCUUGAAUAGUCUCGACGAUGCGCAAGAACAACUCCUUCUGCAUCCGAAAACAACGUCGGAAAAAUGUAGGCCCGUGCGUCGGAUUGUCGUUGAAGUAGUCUUGCAUAAGACAUAAAUGGACAGCCUCACGAUCACGGUGGACGUAUUGUCGGUGAUGAACAACACGUUUCGGCGCCGGUUGGUAGUACAUUUCAGCAAGCAAUUGUUCCUGCUCCUGGAUCUCAUUGAUGAUCGCUGCGCUACCUUGUCGGAGGAAGACGACGAAUUAUCAUCGAACCAUUCCAUUUUUUGAAGAAAAAGAGAGGAAGAUUGAAGGAGAAAUGGAGGAAAAUUGAAAGAGAGAAUUAUUUGUGUGUGUGAAUAAAGAAAUGAGUGGAUGUAUUUAUAGAAGGGGGGGAAAAAAAGGAAAAGUGGGACAAAAGGCUAUGAAGCCGUUGGCAUUAAAAAAAAAAGAAAAAUGGGGUAAACGCUACUUUGGCCUUUAAAAUUCAAUUUUUUUAAUAGGGGCGCAUGCUAUGCACGCGCGUUCAAAACUGCUAUCAGGCCAAGCCUGAUCUAUCAGGCCUCCCUCGAGUCCCUUGUGGCUGUAUUGGGUAACCCGAUCUUGGGGGUGACUCGGGUCCCCACUGUGGGUGCUCUUAAUAGAUUUGGAUUUCAUCUCAUUGCUUUAUACUCCCUUCGUCCUCAAAAGUUAUGCUCCGAUUUCAUUUUAAGGGGUGUCUCCAAAAAGUUUGCCCUAAUCCCUUUAUUUUCUAUUUUGGUACAUGAUUUCAUCAUCAAAUUUACAAUUACAAUCAUUUAAACAUUAUUUUUUAUGCAUGAUCCCACCGACAAACAAUUUUUUAACAAUUUUUAUUAAAAUCAAUAUCGUUUUCUUUGGAGAGAACUUUUGAAGCGAAGGAAUAUUACUCUAAUUGUGAACUUUGAGUCAAGCAUUAAUAGUAAAUAAAUUAAUAUUUAACAUGCUCGAUCACUAUAAGUCGAACAAUCACUAACUAAUAUUUUCGACAUAUUCAAUUACUACGAGUCGAGUCGUCAAAAUGAAUAGGUAUCAUUUUCACUCGAGUCGAGCAGUCAAAAUGAAUAGGUCACUUUCACUCAAUAAUAAUUUCAUCAGUCAUCGUAACAAUAUGUAUGUAUUUGUUUUCACGAAACUUUUAUUUUCAGGCAAACUUUUAAAUACCCAUUUUUAAUGAAUAAAGACAAAUUUUACCCACUUCUCAUAAAGUAUAUAAAAUCUACCCCAUUGACGAAACAACCAACAUUUUUAAACUUUUUUUUUUUUUUUUAUAUCUAAAAAUCGGAAGGAGAUAUUGCUUUCUACUAUCUUUUCUUUUUUGACACUUUUUAUUUACGUUUGGUUCAGUUUUCAUUAAGGUCAAAUCUGGCACUUCCUUAAAUAUGGAUAGUUUUUAUUUGUUUUAGAAAUGACGAGUAAACUUUUUCUUUGUAAGCUUUUCAUUUUCUUAAACAUAAUCAAUAUUAUUUCCCUCACUUUUUAAGUUGAAAGUGGUGGCCGGGUAGUUUCACUGUAACAUAUAUUACAUCUUUUGUUUUAUGAGUUAGUCGGCAUAGAGCUUCGUCACAAUCGAAAAGUCAUUUGCAUUGACUUUUCAUUUUGUUUUUUAGUAUAAAUAAUUAUCAUCUUUUAUAAACAUAAGUAUUUUAUGCUCAAAUUAAACGAGUAGACUUAAAUACCUUUCGAUGUUGAUAAUUUUUGCUUGACUUUUUGUGAAAAAUCUUAUAUGUUUGAUAUAUUUAAUAGCCAUCAGUCAGAAUAUAUAAGAAAAAUUUGAGGAAAAAUGAACUAUUUAACAAUUAGUAUAAGUCAAAAGUUCAUCCAAAGUUUGUUCAUUUAAUUUUGACAAAAAAUAUCUAUGAAAAAUGACAUUUUUCUUACAACUUAAGGAUUAUAUAUGACAUUUUUACCCAUUAUAUAUAUAUAUAUAUAUAUAUAUAUAUAUAGUAAAAAAAUAUAUAGGGGCGCGCUCCAGUGAGACCCCAUAUUUUUCGUGAAACACUAGGACAAUGAAUAAGACAUAUAAUACUAAUGAACAAAACGUAUAUCUAAUGAACAAGAUGUAUAUACUGAUGAAAAAUAAAAUUUAAAAAAUUCGUAAUGAAUAAGACAUAUAUACUGAUGAACAUGGCCGUAUAUACUGAUGAACAAUGCAGUAUAUACUGAUGAAUAACAAAAUUUAAAAUAUUCUGCUCCCUCCAGGAUUCGAACCCUGCGAAAAAAAAUCACCCUCCAGAUACAAUAUCAGCCAUAGGAUUGAUAAAAUAAACGCACCAGAUCGUGCCCUAGAUCUCACUAAAAUUAGGGGGUCUCAUUGGAGCGGCCCCCUAUAUAUAUAUAUAUAUAUAUAUAUAUAUAUAUAUAUAUAUAUAUAGAUAUAUGAGAUACCACACUUAUAGUGAGAACAUAAGAACCAUUAAAAUCAAUGCAUCUGCUAUAUAAAUUAAUGCAUUCGCUAUUAAAUUUAAUGCAUCCGAAAAUAAUAUAAAUUUUUUGCUCCCUUCAGGAUUCGAACCCAUGAUCUGCAUUCAUCCACCAAGAUGAUGCAUCCACCGUAGAUCUUGAUGAUCGAAUGGCUUAAAAUGGUUCUCUGUUCUAAUUUUAUUUAGUGGUUCUUAAUUAAAAAUCGGGUAUCGGGUAUACCCGAUCAGGUAUCGGGUAUACCCGAAAGGCCGAAAUACCCGAUUUUUAAUUAAGAAUAUUUUAAAUUAUUUAAUUAAAUUUAAUUAAAAAAAACUAGAAAUUAAGAUUAAUUUUCAAUUUUUAAGUUUGACCUACUGCCCCCAAUUCGGUCCUUUCCUUCCACUCCACAGUCUCCACCCGCCGCCCCACUCCAGAAAUCAGACCCCCACCCUGCCACCCAGCUGCCGGCGCCCCUCAUCGGCCGUCGGCCCGUCGCCAUUUCACAGACCCCCAGGCCCACUCGCACCCAGGCCACCUUUGUUCUGUCGUUCCGACGCCGCACGCCCACACCCAGUCGCCCACUCGCUCCCAGGCCCCCCAGUCCCACCGCCGCCACUCCCAGUCGCCCCGUCGUUCCGCCGCCGCAGGUGCGCCGCCCCUGAGUUCCGACAACAGCGAUAUGCUUCUUUUUCUUCUUGUUUUUUUUUUUCUUUCUUUUAUACAGAUUUCUUCUUGAUUCUUGGACUUGGUUCUUCUUGGUUCCAAAUUUGUGUUUAUUCCUUUACGACUUCCUAAAUUUAGGUAAUUUAGGGUACCCGAAUACCCGACUCGAGCGGGUAUAGGGUUUGAGGCUUAUUCGGGAUCGGGUACCCUUACCCGAAAAAAGGGACCCGAUUUCCAGCCCUAACGAUAUUGUCUUUGUAAAAUCCCUAAUAUCGCAAAUGCAACCAACCAUGGCUUAAAUCGCUAGCGAUUUUAGUAGGAAAGUAAAAGUCGCUGAGGAUAUGUAUAAAGGUGGAGAGGAAAAAGGUGAUUUUGAAACUCCCAUAAACCUUUUGGGCAUUGCAAAUAGCAGGAUAAGAUAUGAGUUUACUCUCUUUCCCAUUGCCCUCCGCUCCCAAUUAUUUCCCUUGUAAGUCUCACGGUGAAUGAUUUCUUCGAAUUGAGAGACGGAUUGCUGUUGUAGAUCUAAUUUUGAACUAACUUAUUCAAAAUUCUGUGUGUGCGUGAGCGAGAUUGAGUGCAUGGUAGAACAUUAAAUCAGGUAUAAUGUUGUGGAUGCCCAAUUUCUCAGGUACUAGUCUUGUAAUCUAUCAGUCGCAUGGAUCCAGUUGUGCUCAAACCAGGCCAUCCAAUGCGGCGGCCCGAGGGUACUGAUAAUUUGAGCUCAUGUGUUUAUGAUUUGGGAUAACUUAGAGCUCGCUAGCUUAUGUGCAUCAUCUUUACCUUGCUAGAGAACAGGUUGAGGAGAAGAAAAUGGGGAGGAGGCUCUUCUUCAGUUUCGUUGCUGGAUCGGGAGCCAUGUCUGCAGCAUUGCCAUCCUUGGGGAAGACAAAGAAACCGAGCCCGUUUGAUGAGAGACGCCUACUUGAGCAGAACAGGCGAAUUCAGAGAGAGAAUAACGUGCCUGAUGACUUCCCUAGUUUUCUGAGAGAAGGUUUCUUCUUUUCCUAACCACACUUGUGCCUGUGUAUGUGUAUGUAUGUAUUAAGCUCUUCUUGUAUGCUUCAGGUUUCCAGGUUAAAGUAGUGGCACCAGACUACUAUGUUACGCGUGAUUCAGGCCUUGUGUUGUGGGAUAUUGCACCCGGCCAAGGUGAUUGUCCAAAGGCUGGUCAACAGGUUUCUCUUUACUUUGGAUUGCUUUUCUUCAACUAGUAGUUGAUGUUGAUGUUGAUAUUUCACAUUCAUACAAGUGUUAAUUUUGCCUUAGAUGACUUGAUUUUCAAAUCUCUCUGUGCAGUGAUUUUAGUUCCUAUGUUGCAAUGCUCCGUGUCUUUGUAAUAACUCUCCUCGCUGGCAGGUGACGUUUCACUACAUCGGUUAUAAUGAGUCAGGGCGACGUAUAGACAGCACAUACUUACAAGGUUCUCCUGCCAAAGUUCGACUUGGUACUAACGGAUUAAUCCCAGGUAGCAAGCACAAUUGAGUUUCAUAUGUAUAAGGUUUUGGUUGGAGAGAGAAAGAGAGAGACAUAGAAACUAACAGAGUGCACAUUUGGUGACAGGGUUCGAGGAAGGAAUCAGAGACAUGAAGCCUGGAGGGAAACGGAGGAUAAUCGUCCCUCCAGAGCUAGGUCCACCGGUAAGUCUCACUUUCAUUAUUUUUCUUGGGCUAUAUGAUUUUUAUUUCAUUUAGCCAACACGAAAUAUGGUGCGACAAAACAAAUUGCCUUCUUGCAGGUCGGCCCUUCCACUUUUUUCAGCUCCAAGCAGUUUGAAGUUUUUGAUAUAGAAUUGCUAAGCAUUCAAGAUUGCACGAGGAGGACCAUCGGGUUUUAUUCCGAUGUUGUUUGUAAUUAAGGAGGGAGAAAGACUGUUUUUGAGUUUCUAGUCUUGUAGGAAAAUGAACAGGAGCUCGUAGAGAGACCAAGUGAAAAUUUUCUGAUUCAUUAUGAAUCAAUGUAUGUAAUAGGUGGAGAUGCACGCAACAAAACAAAUCUGUGCAAUACAUUAACUAUUCUCAAUUACAAUAAUACAUACUCGCCAUAAUAUACAGCUCAACAAUACAAUCAUUUAUCUUGUAAUGCAAAACUCACAAGUAUCCUCUUGUUGUAGAGGUUUGCCUGCUUUAUGUUUAAAGGUAACAUGUUCUUUCAUUUGAUGUAAUAAUUAACAUUGUUCUUAAUUGCUUGGGAUGAGAUUAGAUUUCCCUUAAACCUUUCGCUUUCUAGAUAUUGAAAUAAUUUGUAUGUUUGUCAACUUUGUGUGAUAUCUUAUGUCUAGAUAAUUCCCAUCUGCAAGAAGUUGUGAUGUUUUUUGCUUUCAUAAAUAUUGUUAUUGGUUUUCUCAAAGAUACUGUUGCCGACUUGCCGUUGUAAAUACCAUUGUUGGUUUUCUCAAGAUAAUGUUCUUCUGCAAUUAUAUUAUUGCCGCCCAAAAUGACAAUUCUAUUUCUCUUCUGUUUCAGGUUCCCAGAUAAGAUUGGAGGAAACUUGGCAGGAGUUCAUUAUAUUCGGGACGUUGCAGAUGCCAAUUCGCUUAUAUCAUCACUGGUAAUGUGUAAUUGUUGUGCCAACUUGGAAUUAAUAUUACAAGACACUCACACGGUAAAUAUAUUAUAUAAACUUUGAUCAUAUGCAUUGGCUUCACUGCUGAUGUUGGACGAUGCAUGUCUUAGGAGAAAGCAAAGAAAGUCGUCGUCAUCGGUGGUGGUUACAUUGGCAUGGAAGUUGCAGCAGCAGCAGUUGGUUGGAAACUCGAUACCACUGUGAGUAACCGUCAUAUCUCCUUACAGUUGUUGGUUGGGCUUUAUUUUAGUAUACCUCAUUCAGCAAAUGAUUAUUGUUUCAAAGCUUGGUUUCAAACUCAAUUUUAGCUCAUUCAGCUAUCUGAUUUGACAAAUACUGAGCUGAUCCUUUUAUUUUAACUUCAUUCUUCUGUAGUUAAUUCUUCUAUAUAUACCAAUGGUCCAAUCUUUUGACUAUCUAUUAAUGAAUUAUCAGUCCAAAACUUAACAGGGUCUUGGGAAUGUUGCAGUCAUACCAACCCCAUCAACUGAACUCAGUUUCUUUGCUAACUACACCUAUUUUUUUUUGGUUUAUUAAAAUCACGUAGCACAUAUAAAUAUCUUGGACUGUAACUAGGUGAUUAGUUUACUAUAAGUUGCAGGGUUUGAUCAGUAUGUUCUCGGAUAUUGUGUUACUAGGCUUCAUAUGUUUCAGUGAAUGAUGAUGCACCAAAAUAGUUCAGAUACUGUAAAAUGUAAAUAGGCUAUAGCCUCUGUUUUCAGUGGCCUUCCUGUUCCUGGCUUCAGAUUUAUCAGCUACGCGCCUCAUGUAACACCCAUGUGGGAGUGUUUGAUUAGUGAUUAGACACAGAUGCUAUGCUCAAACCUUUCCGCUUAUACAAUGACUGAGAGAGAAUGAUUUGGAUCAAUUUCAUGUAACCAAAAUUAGCUACAAUGACUAGCCUUUCACCGCUUAUCUUUGAUUCUUAUAACAUAUGACGCUUGAAUGUGGUUUUGUAGGAAUUCCAACUGCUUCCUAAACUUGCAAGAAGCCAGCCGUCUGUUGACAUUGCAAAGCUUCGGAAAGCUUCUUCAAUAGAGGAGGCGUUGGAAAUCGCACAAUCUUCGUUACAUGUUGAAGUUAAGGUUUUAGUAUGUUUCAUGUGUAGGCAUGUAGAAUGGAUGUAUGCAUCCCCAGCUCUACCUUACUGUAUAAUAAACUCGGCCCUUCUUUCAGCGAUUUUACCGUCUUUCAUGUUUGUUGAGAAGAAGGUAGAAUUUUGCCUAAUAAAAGUUUUACAUUCUUAAUUUGAAAAUAAACUAUGUAUAUAGCAUGCCACUCUAGGAAACUAUAUUUCUUUACAAUAUUCACAUACGCAACUUAUAACUAAGACGGCGAACUCAAAGACCAUAGAAUUAGUGGACUUGGUCAUGAGCCACACAACAGUGCACAGUUGAUGUGAGACUCUGCCUAAUACUUCCUCUGUUCAUAAAAAAUUUAUCACAUUAUAGACAAUACCGAUUUUAAUAAAAUGUGAGUGAAGUUGUUAGUGAAGUAAGAGUCUCACUUUAAAUAUGAGUGGAGUUGUGUGUGAAUUUUACUAUUAUAAAUGGUACAUUUUUAGUGGACGGAUCGAAAGAAAAUUGUGGCAAAUUUUUCAUGAAUAAAGGGGAAAUGUUUUUUUUUCGGUUAGAAAAAAUAUUAUAAUCAUUAUUGUAAUAUCAUCUCUUCUUUUUUUUUUUUUUUUUUUUUUUUUUUUUAAUCAUGGGCUUAAUUAGUUAAUCCAAAUAUAUUCCAAAGCUAUUGCUAUUUUUCUAUUUAUCUGACCAAUAAAUACUCAAGCUACUAGUAUAAGAUAUUAUGCAAAUCUAACUAAGCAAACAUAUUUCAUCCCGGAGUGUAUCUUUUCUUUUGUUAAAUAUUGAAUUAAACAAAAAUCCUCUCAUGGUGACUUGGCAUGUAUUGUUUUUUUUAGUUUUUUUUUAACCUUACUUUGAAUGUUUUAUUUUUAAACAAUUACUUUAUACUACAUUAAAUAUGAGCUCAUACAUCUUUACAUUACAACCUUUUUUUUCCUAAAUAAUUAAUUUGAAAAUAAAUAAGCCAAAUAAAUUGAGACUGGGAAGUAAAAAGUAAAAAAAUAAAAGAUGGAAUUACCAUUUCAUUUUAACUCCAUUCUUCUAUAUAUACCAAUGGUCCAAUCUUGCCGGUAAUUAAGGCAUUUUCAUUUUUAAAUUACCGCUAUCAUAAUUCUGAUGUAAAAAAAAUCCUCUAAAAAAAUUAGGAGUAUAACAUAAAGAAAGAUUAAAGCGCGCGUACUUUAUUGACAAAACAAACAGGUCAAAUUUCUUAGCAAGAGAGGAUGUUAUAUCUUUCAUUUAUUUAUUUAUUUACUCUAUUAGUUUCUAUAUAUUGGUUAGGAAAAACCGUUUCAUACGUCAAGCAAAAAAAAAACAAAUAAUAAAUAAAACUGUUGCGCUUAGAACGUUGGUUUGUCGCACAAGAAAUUAGUGGUUCAAAGUAUGAUUUAAUUUCUAGUCAAAUCCAUAGUUUGUCUUAAAGACUCAUAGAAUUUUAAGAUAUUAUUAUUCAUAUACGUAUUCCAUUAAAUUAAAAACAAUUAUUCACAUACGUAACAAACUACGUUAGCUUCUUCUUUUUCUUCUCAUUUUUUUUUUUAAAUACAGGACAAGAGUAGGCUAGUAGUAGACUAAUUGCGUUGACUCCCUCGUUGCCAUUUAUUAGAAGAUGGUUAAAAGUAUGGAUAUUAAUUUGUAAUAGAGACAACUAUGUAGUAUUAAAUUCCAAACUUUGGAUAUUAUAAAUUGGGAUUUUGGCAAAUAAAAUCAUGAACUAUUUCGAAUUUAUAAUUUUAAUGUGAUUUUUGAAGUGUGGCAAAUUAAAUCAUCAUCUUUUUAACUUUUGCAAUUUCAUCCCCCCAAUUUUUUUUGAUCGUCGGAUUGUUGAGUUAGAGUUUAUGUGGAUUAAUUUGCCACAUAAUAUUCAUGUUACGAUAUUAUUUUCUAUAAAUUAAAAUUGCUGGUUAUUGAAAAUUAUGGUGCAAAUAUAGGAUACAAUGCCUUUAUAAUUUGGAGAAAUUUUUAGUUGAAAUUGUACAAAACGACAUCGUUUAUGCCUAACAAAAACGACAUCGUCUUUACUAAUUCACGUGAGCUUCAAUUCAACAUUCUGGCGACCGAAAAAAAUCAGGUGGACGGAAUUGUAAAAAUUGAAAAGGUGGUGAUUUAAUUCGCCACACUUCAAAAGUCACGUUAAAAUUGCAAAUUCAAAAUAGUUCGUGAUUUUAUUUGCCAAAAUCCCUUAUAAAUUUGAUUCAAACUUUAAACUGUUAUACUUAAGACUUAAUUUUAUAAUUUUGUAGUAAAUUACACCUCUUAACUUUUUAGUAUGAGAUUGGAGCUGAGAUUAAUUUUGAGACUUGUGAAGAUGGUGUCUACAAAAUAUGCUUAAGUUCAGGGACCGAUAUGCAAAAUAAGGUUUGCAUGGUAAGGUAGUUAAGCAUCGAGUUUUGAUCUGCUGCUUCUGUUCCAUAUUGUUCAAAAUAGUUUAGCAUAUAAAUUGUAUUUUUCGUUCAUUCUUUGUAAUCAAUACGCAUGUGAGAGAAGUUUGAGAGAGAGAAUAGUAAGAGCAAGAAGAAAGAGUUUCAAGCUAGGGUGAUAUAGUUUGAGUGGAGAGUUCUUUCAUUUGUUCUUCAAGAUCUUGUAAUCUCUUCUGCAUUAUCAAUAAUACAAUCCGUUUAUCCUUCAUGGGCGUAGGCUACGGCCGAACCACGUAAGCUCCGGUGUCAUCUUGUUUGUACAAUGUGUGUGUAAACUAUUGUGUGUGUUGCUCGAGUGUUUGUUGCGAUUACAAAGAUUCAUCCAGUGUCGAUUUUCAACAAGUGGCGCCUUCUGUGGGAAGAGGAUCGAGAUCAGUGUGAUUUAGAUGGCGACAACAAAGUUCGAGGCGGAGAAGUUCACCGAAAAGAAUGAUUUCGGAUUGUGGCGGUUGAAGAUGAAAGCCAUGCUAAUUCAGCAAGGGCUUUUCGCUGCGCUGCAAGGUGAGAAGGCACUGCCGGAGGAGAUGAAGAAAACAGACCGAAUCAUCUUGAUGGAGAAAGCUCACAGCGCUGAUUCUUUACUUGGGAGAUAAGGUGUUGAGAGAGGUUUCGAAAGAAACUACUGCUACAGGCGUUUGGGCGAAGUUGGAGGAUAUCUAUAUGAAGAAAAGCCCCAGUAAUCGUCUGUACAUCAAACAGAAAUUAUAUUCUUUCAAGAUUAUGGAAGGAAAAGGCACAGAAGAUCAAAUUGAGGAUUUCAAUAAGAUCUUCGAUGAUCUUGAAAAUAUCGAAGUUAAAUUUGAGGAUGAAGAUAAGGCAAUCAUUUUACUCAAUGCAUUGCCUAAAUCUUUUGAAAACCUCAAAGAUGCCAUGCUAUUUGGCCGUGAGAAGACGAUUUCUCUUGAAGAAGUGCAAUCUGCUCUCAAAACUAAGGAGUUGCAGAAGAGUUGUAUGUCUAAGCAAGAAGCCCCCACUGGUGAAGGACUAUCCAUAAAGUCAAAACCACAAAAGGGGAAACCCAAGAAGCAAGCAUAUAAUCCCGAGAAAACUACUCAAGAUAAAGCAAAAGACCCUACUGAAAAAUAGACCAGAACUUGCCAUUUCUGUGAAAAAGUGGGUAAUCUCAAGAAGAAUUGCUUAUCAUGGAAAAAGAAGCAAUCUACUCAAUCUCAGAAAGCUGAUUAAGCAUAUUUGGUGGAUAACAUUGAAAAUGCAAAAGUGUUGAAUGUUGUUGACUGCAGCAAAGAUGGAAAAUAGAUUCUUGAUUCUGGAUGCAGUUUUCACUUGACAUCUCAUCAGGAAUGGUUUAUCAAUCUGAGAGAAAGUGAUAGUGGUCAAGUUUUACUUGGAAAUGAUCAAACCUGCAAAGUCAAAGGCAUAUGAGAUAUCAAGUUGAAGCUAAUAGAUGGCUCAUUCAAGAUCCUGUCAAAUGUGAGGUACAUCCCUGAACUUAAAAGAAAUUUAAUCUCUCUUGGUUUACUGGAAUCAAAGGGGUAUGAAUUUCUGUCAAAAGAUGGUAUUAUGCAUAUCAUGAAAGACAAUAAAGUAAUUCUUAAGGGAACUAGAAGGCAGAGUCUUUAUUAUCUAGAGGGAUGUACUGUGGUAGGAGAUUGUGAGUCUAGUAGUCAAGAUCUAUCUGAGCUAUGGCAUCUAAGGCUAGGGCAUGUUGGAGAGAAGGGCAUGAAUGAGCUGCUGAAACAUAGCCUUAUAAAAAAUCCUUACAAUUCAAGGUUGAAGAUUGCAUACUUAGCAAAAGUAAGAAACAACCUUACGGAAAUGAUAGACAUACCUCUAAAGCUCCCUUAGAUUAUGUAUAUUCUGACUUAUGGGGGCCAGCUAGAACCAUGAGUAAGGGUGGAGGUAGAUUUUUCAUGAGCAUCAUAGAUGAUUACACUAGAAAACUAUGGAUUUAUAUUCUGAAAAGUAAGGAUGAGGAUUUCCUGAAAUUCAAGGAGUGGAGUACUGAAGUUAUGAAUGAAAAAAGUAGAGGGAUAAAAUACCUUAGAACUGACAAUGGCCUUGAAUUUCUAUCUAAGGAAUUUCAUGACUACUGUGUAGAGAAAGGCAUUAAGAGACAUAGAACUGUACCAUCUAACCCACAACAGAAUGGUGUUAUAGAAAUGAUGAAUAGAACUAUACUAGAGAGGGUUAGGUACAUGUUGUUAAGCUCUGGGUUGCCUAAGGUUUCUGGGGGGGAAGCUAUGUGUACCGAAUCAGUUUUUAUAAAUAAAUGCCCAUCAUCUGCCAUAGAAUUCAAAACUCCUAAUGAGCUUUGGAAUGAUAGUCCACCUGAUUAUUCUUACUUAAAACCUUUUGGAUGUAGAGCCUAUUCUCAUAUUAAGCAAGACAAGCUUGACUCUAGAGCCUUAAGGUGUGUAUUUCUAGGAUAUCCUAAGGGUUUUAAGCUCUGGUGCACAAAGCCAGGUAUGAACAAACUUAUAAUAUCUAGAGAUGUCACUUUUAAGGAGGAAGUACUGCCAUAUCUGUUAGCCAAAAACGAGAGACCUAUCACUGAUAAAAACACUAAUAGUACUAUAUUUGAGGUGGAGCCUCUUAGUUAAGAACCUAGAAAUGAGUCAGAUGAGCAAUCAGGAGAUAGUGAUUCUCAACAUGAGCAGGAGGCUGCUGGAUUAUCUGAUUACAUGUUAGCUAGAGAUAGACAAAGGAAAACUAUACAACCACCCUCAAGAUAAAGAUAUAGUAAUGCUGAUUUUCUAGCCUAUGCCUUAAAUAUAGCAGAGGAAUUAGAAUAUCAAGAACCAAGUAAUUUCUCAGAAGCUAUGAAAAACAGAGAAAUGGAUCAAUGGAUGAAUGCUAUGAAACAUGAGCUAAAUUCAUUAACUAAGAAUGGUACAUGGAUCUUAGUGAAUAGGCCAAAACACAAGAAACUAGUAAGCUGCAAGUGGAUUUUCAAAAGAAAACUUGAAGUUACAGAUAGAGAAUAUGUUAGAUACAAGGCUAGACUAGUAGCUAGAGGAUUUACACAAGAAGAGGGUUCUCCAAGCGAGAGGAAGAGGCCUCAAGACCCCAAAUCCAAUGCCACAACAGAUGAAGAUAAGGAAAUCAUUUUACUCGUAUUGCCGCAGGAUAUCUUUCACCACCUCAAUCUCAGUCUGGUUAGCCCUACCAAAGAUAAUGCAAUCAUCGGCAAAAAGGAGAUGAGACACCCGAGGGGCCGUGCGGCAUAAAUGCGCCCCGUGAAUCAGAGAACGAGUAUCAGCCCGCCUCAAGAGCCCAGAUAAAGCCUCCGCACAGAAUAAGAAGAGGAAAUGAGACAAAGGAUCCCCCUGUCUCAAACCUCUGCUGGGCACAAAAGAUUCACCUGGAAAGCCAUUAACAAGAACACGAAAGGAAACCGACGUAACACAACACAUAAUCAGAUCAACCACAGGAGAAAGAACCCAACUGACAUAACAUAGACUCCAAAAAAUUCUACUCAACUCUAUUAUAGGCCUUAGCCAUAUCAAGCUUAAAAGCAAACCCACCCCUAGCUCUAGCCUUACUAAGCUUUAUCAUAUGGAAUAUUUCAAAAGCUAGCAAAGCAUUAUCUGUAAUCUGUCUACCCGGAACAAAAGCAAAUUGACUCUCAUGAAUGAUGGAUGGAAGAAUAUAUAGAUUUCAACCUAUUAGUAAUGACCUUUGAAAUAAGCUUGUAAACAACGUUACAAAGGCUUAUAGGCCGAAAAUCAACAGGAUGCAUUUUUUUUUCUUUUCGGAAUCAAGCAAGUGAAGGUGCAUUUUAAGGACUUGGGACUAUCACCAAGAUUGAGCACUCUAUGAACCAUAGGAAUAAAAUCGUACUUAACAAAAGACGAGCAGGAAGUGAAAAACAAGAUAGGCAUACCGUCGGGCCUCGGAGCCUUUAAAGGAUGCAUUUGGGAGAGGGUCUGGGUGACAUCCUCGCUCGUGUACGGAGCAGCCAUAAAAAUGUUCAUCUCGUCAAUGACAAUAGGAUAGGGUCAAUAGAGCUAAGAGUCUCCCCGGCAUCAUGAGAGGGACCAGCCGUGAAUAGCGCACUGAAGUAAGACCUGAAAAUCUCGUCCAUGUAAGCUCUUUCGAAUAAGGGUACCAUCGGCCUUUUAGAUCUCACGAAUGUAGUUCCGUUUCUUUCUCCCCUCCGCCACCUUAUGAAAAAACCCUGUAUUAGUCGGCCCUAGACCUCUGUUUCUACAUGAGCUCUUCUUUAGCUAAUAAAUCAUCAAGCUCCUUCUCGAUUUGUCAUUGUUCCUUGGAAUCAGGCUCGUUGUGAGCUUUCUGUAAGUCCGCCAGAUCUUCCCGAAGCUUGGCAGUCAUUUUUUAGACAUGCCCAAACUCAUGUUUCUCCCAAUGUUUUAGCUCUUUACCCAUCACCUCAAUCUUUUCCUGAAAAUCGCUAGCUGAGGAGAUAGCAGCACCUUUCUCCCAUAAUUCCUCACACAACCGCUUGCAUAUGUCAUCUUUCAUUCACAUCGCCUCGAACCGAAAAGGUUUUGGGUGAUUUUGAUUAUCCUCCUCCGAUUUAGUCAACGCCAGUAGAAGAGGACAGUGGUCACUAGACUUUCUCAGCAAGUGAGUCACUUCAUAUCCAGGAAACGAAUUAAUCCAAGAUGAAGACCCAAAAAUCCUAUCAAGCCGCUCCAAAAUGUUAUUCGAACCCAAUUGAUUAUUAGUCCAAGUGUACGACUCUCCCGUAAAACCAAGAUCAGUGUAGAGCAUAAUUCAAUCACCUCCGGGAAAGCUUCCAGCCUAGAGUCCAGUUUUGAAUUUUCCCCUCUUUUUUCAUAAUGAUAAAGAGUCUCAUUAAAAUCUCCCCCAAAAAUGAAGUUUUCUACCACAAGAGGGGGGAUCUGUCCCAUGAGAUCCCAAGUAAGGCCAUGCUCAGUCGUGACACUCCAUCCAUAUAUCCCUCCCAAGUCCCAAUUCAGAUGGAGUCCAUCGUCUAUCGAAGCCAAGAUAUGAUUUAUUCCUGACUUAAUAGUUAUCUGACCACAGUAAACAGAGUUCACACCGCCUUCUUCUAGCCGUGAUAUCACAAUCCAUCGCAAAAAACUGAUCAAAACCAAUCUUACCAAGUAUGGGAUUCCACUCUUCGACAUACAAUUUUGUCUCCAUGAGGAACACCACAUCGGGCCGUUUUUGCUUGGCAAGCCAAACCAGUUGUUGAAUUGUCGACGGGUUCCCAAGCCCUCGACAAUUCCAAAAGAGGCAAUUCAUUGUGCCUGGCGGGAUUGCUUUGAAGCAAUCUCUGCCGAUAGUACAGAAGAGGAGGAUAGGUCAUCGAUGAUGGUACUUUUAAGUCGUUUCUGAACCAGCUCAAUCGCCACAUCUUUGACAAGAGAAACAACACCCUCCAUCUUGCGCGAAUGCCAUUUUCUAAGAGAAUAGGGGGUAGAUUUUGUGGUGUCUUUCUGAGGGUGUGAACUUGGUGCACGUGGGCGCCACGUCCAAGUUCUAUGUUUGGCAGAAAUAGCACUAGAGAGAGGGUUUUGAAGAUGCGGAAGGAUAUUUAGAGGUGAGCUUUGGGAUAAGUGUUUUAUGUUGAGGAGUUUGAGAUGGUCAUGAGUUGGAGUGAAGGGAGCUUUAGUGUCAGUAGUCAUAUCUGUAAGAUGGUGUAAAUGAGGUGGGAUCGUAAUAUGUAAGGACUCGGAGAAGCUGGGAUGAGAUGGAAUGAGAGAAGCUUUAGUAUCAGUGAUCAUAUCUGUUAUGUGCUGGAGGGUAGAUGGGAUCGUAGUUUGUGUGGAAUAAGAGAAGAUGGGGAGAUAAGGGCUCUUGCUGGUAUUUGUAGCAGAUGGGUGAUGUGAGGUUUGGGAUAUAGAUUGGAGGAAAAGAGCAAUAUCAGGCAGGAAGGAGUUUUGAGGAGUAGAGGUCAGAUUAUGAUAAUUUUCGGAGAUCUGUGGGAAAUGAAUAGAAGAAGUCGAGGAAUAGUUGGGGCCGGUAUGCUGAAAAGUUUGGUAAAAGUGCGGGAGUUUUGAACUUAUGGACUAAGGUAAUUUAGCAGCAGAUUGGACAGGGCCAUGAAGGAUGACAUCUUCAAAGUCGGAGCAAUUGAGUGUAAGAGGGUGAGGAGGUUCCAUUGCUGGAGGGUUGUAGGAUAAGGGUGGGGGCCUUGCGCGACGGGAGUGGGGGUGUUGGGGCCAGUUCUGGGCAGAGUUGGGAUGAUGUUGGUGUCCCGAGGGACGGAUGCGUUUGAGGGGGAGGCUUUUAGAGACGGACCAUAAAGAAGAUCAUCAAAAAAAAUUCCGUUUUCAUCAUCUUCUCUUUCUUGCUCACAAGCUCAGUGUGGUAACCUAGAACUUCGCAUUUGUAGCAAAAUAUGGGUAGGUUCUCAUAUUUCAAUGGAAUCCACAGACUCUGGCCUUCAAACAGACUUGUAACAUCAAAUCUCACUUUGAAUCUCGCAAAGCACCCCGAGUAGUUUGUAACCAUGUCAAUCUCCUCCAUCGAACCAACUUGAGCAGCGAUAUUUCUAAUAAUCAUCGGGUGAGUCAAGCAUCUCAUGGGGAGAUCAUAUGCCCGAACCCAAAAACUGCCAUGAACAAUGUUGAUAUUUGAUGGUUGAGCAGUUUCGUCCAGUGGCGCAAUGACGAAAAGAUGACCAUCAAAGUGCCAUGGUUGUCGUUUAAGGACCCAAUCGCGAUCUUCGUUGCUGGAGAAAUUGAAGAGGAACAAGUUCUUUCUCCAUUCACGGGUCUCACACUCCACUUUCGUCUUCCAGGCCUUCUUCAUGAUUUCAAGGAGGUGGAAUCCAUUAGGGUUUUGGGGCAUAUCAGCCGCCCCAUCAAACAAUGAGAGAGUGGCUCAGAUUUGGAAUUGUCAUUGGAAAGAACUCUCGACAGAUCAAGAAUCGCGAUCUCCCGUUCAAUGCGCUCUACCGGCUCAGUCACCGGCCCAGGAUCCCGUGAGGAGCCACCUUUCUCCAUACCUGCAAGACACAAACGAGACAAAAGGCAAACAACAAACAACACACACAAAACUUAGGGAAAACCAGACAGGGAAAGCAAAGACCGGAGGGAAAAAGAAGGGACAAGAGAAAAGAGACGGACACGCCGUCGACGAGGACUCAAAAAGAGGACGGAAACCCUAGACUCCUAGGGAACAAAUUUUUUCUUUGAAAGAUUGACUUUUGUUAACCUACAAUAUCACGAUUUUAUUACCUAGCUAAUUAUUUUAAUUAUUUCUUGCAAAAUAAUUUUUGUUAAUGAAUAAAAUAAAAAAAUUCACAAUUUUAGCUCAUGUAUAUAAUAUAUAAAAAUGAGCUUUUUUUCACUCCAUUUAUUCCCUCCCUUUUUUUCUCUCUUCUCCCACCAAUUUUUCCACUAUUUUUAUUUAUAUUCCUGCAAUUUUUUUCUCUCUUCUUUUUUUAAUUCUUUUAUAAACAUCGUUAAAUUUGAUUCAUGAAAAAAAUAUUCAAUAAUAAUUUUAAAUUUAAGUUCGUGACGAGAUUUUAGAUAUAUUAUAAAAAUCAUCAAAAAUGAAUUUAAAAUGAAUAAAUUAUGAAAUUUGUAAAAUUUAAAAUAUUUUACUUUCUCUCUCUCCAUUAUUUUUUAUAUUUUUUUAUUAUUUAUGUUUGUGUAUGAAAAUAUUUAUUUAUUUUUUAUUCUAUUUAAUAUUUAUAAUUAUUUAUUUAAACAUAUAAAAGAAUUGAAAAAUAAAUUUAUUCAAAAAAAGAUGAGAGGGGAGAGAGGAGAGAGUUUUUUUUUUCAAAUUUUAAUCUUUAAAUAAAUAUAAAUUUUACAUUUUAAAUAUUUUGAAUAUUUAAGAUUAAUCAAAUCAUUAUAAUUGUGUAUCAAUUAUAAUCCCAUCAAAUUGAUUAUAAAAUAAUCACAACACUCUAUAAUUUAAGGUAUUAGUUAAUUCUUAAUCUCUUAUAUAUGUUAUAGAGUAAAAUUUUGGAAUAGCCAAAAUGGAUCAUAAAACACAAAUUAUGGCCACUCAUUGAAAAAACAUAAAUUUUGGCCAUUUUUAUAGCUUUGGGACGUUUUUGCCCUUAAUUGGGCGGACUGGGUAGGGUCAGAAGCGCGGGUCGCGUGCCAGGUAGAAUCAGGCACGCGGGUCGGGUUAGGCGCUUAUGGCACUAUUAGUGCCAUAAGUGCCAACGAAUUUUUUUUUUACUCCCCCUGCCCUGUCUACCCCCCCACGACCCCCCGACCCCCACCCACCCCCAAGACCAAAACAAAAACAAUUUACUCCCCCUAGAUAAAAAUAAAUCAAAUUUUACUUUUGUUAUUUUAUUUUAUGGCACUGAUAGUGCCAUAAGUGCCAACGAAAAUCCAAAAUAAAAUAAAGUAAAAUGGUCUUUUUAGCACUUAUGGCACUAUUAGUGUCAUAAGUGCCAAACAUGCAGAACAAAUAUAGAAACAACAGCGUCAUCUAAACCCUGAAUGGAACAUUUAAACCCUAAAUGAAUAAUCUAAACCCUAAAUGGAAUAUCUAAACCCUAAGGGAAGUGUUUAAAAAGUUUCUUUUGGCUUGGGGGUGGGUGGGGUACGGGGGUCUGGGGGGGUAGACAGGGCAGGGGGGAGUAAAAAAAAAAACUUNAGUAAGUUUUACGGUCUAUAAAUCGUACGCCCCUUUUCUUCCCCUUCUUCUUUAACUCCAUCCCUAGUCGUAGAUCACUCGGCUUAACUAUCUUUAGUUAGGGCGGGCUGUGACAGUUCCAGAUAUGAUAGAUUACAAGAGAACUUAGUCUGCAGACGAACUUUAAGAAUCACAAAUGAUCUUAGUAAGAUUGGGCCUUUUUAGCGAAAAAACUCCCUUGCUGUACUGUUUAUGAUGGCAUGACAAUUUACAGUUUUGAAACAUGUAUUUUUAUACCUAGGCAUACGUGCCCACUGAGUGCUUUUGUACUCAGCCCUGCAUAUGUUUUCUAAAUGUGCAGGUUGAGCUGAUGUGAUGAUGGUGUUGCAAUGAGCGGAGUCUCCAGGGUUGUUAAUAAAUAGUUAACCUGUCUAGAAUAUGUCUUCAUACAUAUGUCUAGCUACUUUCCGCUGCAAGAUGUUGUUGAUGUUAUAGUAUGUUAUGUCAUACUUUGAGUCUUAAGAGAAUGGUUUCAUAUGAUGUCUAACUUGAUUAAUGAUAUUAAUUAAGUUUUAUGCUGUCUUUCAUAGACUGUUUUCAAUUGAGUAUUAAUGAAUAAAAAUGACGAGUUUUAUUAAGAUGAGUAAGUUUUACGGCUAUAAAUGACUCCCCUUUUCUUCCCCUUCUUCUUUAACCCCAUCCCUAGUCGUGGAUCACUCGGCCUAACUAUCCCUAGUUAGGGCGGGCUGUGACACAACAUGAAUUAAAAAAAGGAAAAAACUAAGUAAAUAGGUACUUUGGACACAAAUGACAAUAUUAGUGUCAAAAGUACCAAUAUAAAUUAAAAAAGACCAAGUAAAUUGAUACUUUUGGCACAAAUAGUAAUAUUAAUGUCAAAAGUAUCAUUCGAUGAUUAAACCCUAAAUGAGGAAUCUAAACCCUAAAUGGAGAAUGUAAAUCCUAAAUGGGGAAUCUAAACCCUGAAUGAGAAUCUACCUAAAUGGAGAAUAUAAACCCUACAGGGAAGUGUUCAAAAUGGCCAUAUAACUGCACUCAUCUAUAUAAGACAAGACAAUGUAUCAGCACAAGUAUAUGACAUUAUUGGCACUAAUAUGAUCACCGGUACCAUUCGUGCAUGACAGUUUUGACACUAAUAGUGUCAAGUGUACCAAUUUAUUUGAAUUUUUUUUUUUUUCUUUCUAUUUUUGGCACUAAUAGUGCCAAGUGUACCUAACCCGCGCGCAAACUCGAAUCCGGUCCACCCUAAUUAAGGGCAAAACAAUCCUAAAACAUAAAAAUAAAUGAUCAGAUUUUAUAUUUUUCAAAUUAGUGGUCAAAAUUUAUAUUUCCUUCUUCAAAAUAGGCCACACGAAUACAUUGUUUAUUAUAUAAAAAAUAGCGAGCUUAAACAUUCAAUAUAAUGUUGUAAUUACUAACAUGGCCAGGCAGAUAUAUUGUUUCUAACGUUACUAAUGCAGCUACCCUUGUAAUUAACAUCCCUUAGUAGUACUCUUGCAGGCUAUAUUCAAACAAGCAUCUCACUUUUUUUUUAAAGAAGAAUGCAACUUGUGACAAAAUGGGAGUGUAGUAGCUAGUGCGUGUCAUCCAAACAAUUAAGAAAAGUACACUACAUCGUUUGACCCCAUUUAAAAUUCCAAACACGUUAAUUUGGUACCUAAUAUUUGACAUUCAAAUUUGUUUGUUCUCAUGCACAUUGUCUAAAUAAAAUCUGUGUGAAGCAGACUGAUCAGAAACUUGUGGAAAGUGAGACUUUUUUUUUAUAAAAAAAAAUAAUAAUCGGAAAUCAUAUAAAACAAUAAGCAUAAAAUCCCACCGCUAUUUUGACAAUAUGACAAUAACAAACUAAAAAAUAUUCUCCAAUCUGAAAAGGGCAAUGGGCUAACAAAUGGACAUGUGACUAGGGGGUGUACAAAGUAUCGGCCGAUCAAACAGAUUGAAAAUAGAUUGAAUCGAUCAAUUUUCGGUUAAUUUUAAAAUAAUUGUCUAUCGGUUCAAUUUUUUUAAUAAAAUUUUAGAUCACUAGGGGGUGUUUAAAAAUCGUAUUGCCCCAUCAAACUGAUCGAAAAUGGAUUGAAUCAAUCAAUUUUUGGUCAAUUUAAUUUUGACCUAAUCGAAAGAUAGUAUAUAUUAGUCCUGCGUGUUUGAUAUUGGCUAAUACAUUGUAUUAACUAAUUUAGUACAGAACAGUCUAGUGUUUGGUAUUAUUUAGUAAUAAUGCGGAUGAUCCGGUUUAAUCCCACGACCCAGUAUUAUUAAUCCAGAUUUCUUAGGAUUAAUAAUACCACCUCCCCCUAAGAUUAACUUAAACCAGGAUAAUCUGUAUUUAGUCAUGAUAACAAACACCAACUCAGUAUUAAUAGUCUGUCAUUAUCCACGCUAAAUAUCUUGGUUACAAAUUAUCCUACAGAAUCCUUUACUAAAAACCAAACGAGUUAGUGACUUAUUUUUCUAAAUCCUAAUUCUCUCUUGCCUCACUUAUUCUCUCUCUACUUAGGCCGCACCUCACUCAUUCUAUCUCCCCUCUGCUCCCCCCCUCCCCCCGUGCCAUUUCGUCUCCCUCUUUUGUGUUUGACUCUCUUCCUCACUCAUUCUCUUUCUCCUCUGCCUCUAUGUAUUGCCGACGCCGUUUCAUCUUCAUGUCUCCUCCUCUGUGCAGCCUUUCUUCUCGCUCCACGCCAACAGCAUCUCCUAUCUCUCUAUUAUAUUAUGUGUUGAAUUUGACGGCUUAUUCUCCCACGCAGUCCGCGCUACUCUCCCUUCAUCUCUCUUAGGUCUUCUUCUCCUUCCGUAGUCCAUGUCGCUCUCUACUCAUGUCGAUCAACCGAUCAAAAAAUCAACUAUAUUGUCGGUUUGAUGUUUGGUUGGUCGGUUUGCCCAAAAUCAGUCGGUUCGGCUCACAAAGACUGCUAACCGUCGUUAUCCAAUUCUAGCUUUUUGGGUUGAUUGACCGACCGAACUAACCGAUUCACAUCCCCACAUGUGAUCGCGUAUUUUUUUUUUUAACUUACAUCCUCAACACUCCUAUAAAAAUAUAGGUGACAAAAAAAAUUCUUCACCUCUUAACAAUCAUUUUAUGAUAACUAAUAAAAUAAAGGGGUUAUUGCCGGAAAAUACAUGUAGUUUGUCGAUUUUCUGAUUUAUAACAUGACUUUAUAAUUUGACCAGAAAAUACAUCAAUUUUCAAUUUAAUCGCAAUUAUAACAUGACUUUAUAGUCUGACAAGAAAAUACACCAAGUUUCAAUUUAUUCUCAAUUAUAACAUGACCUUGUAAUUAAUUUAGUAGUAUAAUAAUAUCAAAGUUUAAUAUAUUAAAUAUUUUUAAUUUUCUUUUCAUCUCACAAUAUACUAUAUAUAUAUGUAUAUAUAAAGAGUAAAAUUUUGGAAUAGCCAAAAUGGAUCAUAAAACACAAAUUAUGGCCACUCAUUGAAAAAACAUAAAUUUUGGCCAUUUUUAUAGCUUUGGGACGUUUUUGCCCUUAAUUGGGCGGACUGGGUAGGGUCAGGAGCGCGGGUCGCGUGCCGGGUAGGAUCAGGCACGCGGGUCGGGUUAGGCACUUAUGGCACUAUUAGUGCCAUAAGUGCCAACGAAAUUUUUUUUUUACUCCCCCUGCCCUGUCUACCCCCCAGACCCCCGACCCCACCCACCCCCAAGCCAAAAACAAAAAACAAUUUACUCCCCCUAGAUAAAAAUAAAUCAAAUUUUACUUUUGUUAUUUUAUUUUAUGGCACUAAUAGUGCCAUAAGUGCCAACGAAAAUCCAAAAUAAAAUAAAGUAAAAUGGUCUUUUUAGCACUUAUGGCACUAUUAGUGUCAUAAGUGCCAAACAUGCAGAACAAAUAUAGAAACAACAGCGUCAUCUAAACCCUGAAUGGAACAUUUAAACCCUAAAUGAAUAAUCUAAACCCUAAAUGGAAUAUCUAAACCCUAAGGGAAGUGUUUAAAAAGUUUCUUUUGGCUUAGGGGUGGGUGGGGUCGGGNCAGAACAAAUAUAGAAACAACAGCGUCAUCUAAACCCUGAAUGGAACAUUUAAACCCUAAAUGAAUAAUCUAAACCCUAAAUGGAAUAUCUAAACCCUAAGGGAAGUGUUUAAAAAGUUUCUUUUGGCUUAGGGGUGGGUGGGGUCGGGGGGUCUGGGGGGUAGACAGGGCAGGGGAGUAAAAAAAAUUUUGUUGGCACUUAUGGCGCUAAUAGUGCCAUAAGUGCCUAACCCGACCCGCGUGCCUGAUCCUACCCGGCACGCGACCCGCGCUCCUGACCCUACCCAGUCCGCCCAAUUAAGGGUAUAUUAGGCAUAUUGCCUAAUUAAUGGCCAUAAUUUGUGUUUUUUCAAUUAGUGGCCAAAUAUUGUGUUUGCAUGUUCAAUGUGGCCAUUUGACACCAUUGUUUCUAUGUUAUAAGUGUUAUAUGUGUGUGUGUUAAUAGGCAAAAAUGUUCAAUCAUCUUACGUUAUAUGUUAUAAAUGUCUUUUUUUAUUAAUUAAUAUGACGAGAUUCUUUAUAUUGUUAAUAGGUACAUAAAUGGAUACCUAAAAUUUGAGGAUCGAGUCAAUAUGAAACGAACAAAUGUUAUGAUUUUAUUUGUAAGUACAAAAUUCUUAAUUAUUUGUAAUAUUGAAUUUGCCCAUCGUCCUAUUAAUUUAGUUUUUAAAAUAUUGUACCUUGCAUGCGUGUUGACUUAACUUCUAACAUAAACACUAAUACUCUACACACAUAAUACAUUUUAAUAUAAUUUUUUAGUCAUAUUAACUCUUUAACACAAAUAACAUUGAUCUACACAUAAUUUCAAAUAUUUGAUUAAUUUUUUAGUGAAAUAAUAGUAUUUGUAAACUAAUCGAUCAAAAAAAUAAAUAAAUUAUGUUUGGGUUAUAUGCAUGUUGAAAUAAUUUAUAUACUCUUAAGUAUGACUAUAUUAAAUUAAAAAAAAACUAUAUUUUGUAACAUAAAUUUUAAUAAAAUCACAUUACAUUGAAUGUCAUUAAUAAAACAUUUAACAUUACAUACGAAGGAGGUUUAUCUCAAGUGAUAAAAUUGAGAUAUUAAUAAUUUUCUUUUUGCAAAAAAUCGUUAGUUUAAAUUUCAUCAAUAUUGUGUGGAUGAUAUUUUUUUUAUUUAUUUGAUUAUUUCGUCCAAUUUAUACUAACUUAAAUGUAAAUUUAAUAAUUUAAUUAUUUCAUUGUAUUAUAUAUAUAUAUAUAUAUAUAUAUAUAUAUGUGUGUGUGUGUGUGUGUGUGGUCUAUUUCAAUUGAGAAAAUGCCCUAAGAGUAAGAAUAAAGAAUAAAUCCUAUCCCUUGAAUAGAACAUAUCCGACGGCCUAGAUUAGUUCAUAAAAUGUGUUUCUUAAUUGGUUGAAUAUGAUAAUAAAUACAAUUUCGUUCAGAAGGUUAUUUAAGUAAAAAUGAUAUGUACCGAAUUCGGUAUACAAUAUCAAAUCACUAAAAUAUCUCAAACUUCCAAAUUUGUUGCGAUCUUGUUUCAUUUCUAUGAAUCUCGGAUUAUAGCUUUUAUUUAUUUCCAAAAUUCUAUGAACUUUAUGUAAUUUCUUGAUGAACUUAUAAUUAGGGUGGUGAACUUAUAUUUAUUUGUCUUUGAACAGUUUUAUUGAACUUAUAUUUAUUUGUCUAUGGUGUAGCGUCGGGGCUCUCUUUUUUCUUUUAAUAAAAUUUCUAUUUCAGCAGCAUAUUUAUUUGUCUAUGAACAUAUCUAUAAAUCGAAAUAUGUGCUCGUUGAACAAAUGGAAAUACGUUAUAAGAAAAUCAUCAGUUUGCGCGUUAAAUAUAUUAUAACUAGUGUGUAACCCGUUGAAAUUCGACGGGUACUUACUCUAGUUAUAUUUAUAAUUAUAAUAAAUAAAAUAAUAUUUAUAUUAAAGUAAUGAAUUUGUUAUGCAAAUAACGAUUUUACUAUUUAUUUUCAUCACAAAAAUAUAUAGUAACUUGUGUUAAAUAUCCACACAUAUUUAUAUUUACAAAUAUAACUUAUCACAAUAAUUGGUUAUCCAUCUUAUUAGAGACUCGAAUAUUGAAGAAUAAACAUUCAUAUACAAAAUUAAGAGAUAAUUAAAAAAAAUCAUGUGAACAUGUUUAUUAUAAUGUUCAUUCAAAUAUAUUAGUUUGUUUGGCCUUCACAUUAAUUACUUGUAAUCAAAGUGUCUAUUGGUGUCUCGCUAAAAAUGGUCAAACGAUUUGAUUACUCCUAAUUAUGGCAAUUAACGUAUAUAGCUUAUAGGUAAUUUACUAUCAUAACCUCUAAUGAAUUGGAGGCUGGCGAAUUAUUCGCGAAUAUAAACCACCGGAUUAAGUUAGAUGGAUGGUCUAAAUUAUUUCUCAAUUCUCACUACAUUUAUAUUUUCUCAAUUAAACCUUCGCACUCUAUAGAAAAUGACUCUUAGUUUAAGAAUAAGGAAGUAAUCUGGUCCCUUAAUUUCAUUGAAUCUAGCGGUUCAGAUUUUAUCAUUUAAAUGAUUUCAAUAAUUAAUAUAAAGGCAGAAAAUUAGUUGUAAAUCCGAUAGGGUUAUAUAGGUAAAUUGUAGUUCGUCAGAUUUAUGAAAAAUAAAAUAAAAUUCCGUGAUUGUCUCAAAUCCUUAUUGACCACCGAUGAUAUGGGGUCUGGCCAUAUUGUUGAACACAAUUUUUUUCCCCAAUGAACAUAUGAGAUGUUGGGAUGAACAUAUAUGUUUUCAUAAAACGUCGGUUGUUUAUGUUGACUCGCUCUUUGGGCUGAAUGUUGAGGCUCCACACACGCUUCCACAGCUGGGAACCUCAAUCAGUCGAGGUGGAAGCCGGAGCUUUGUAGAAAUCUAAUGAAAGAAGGUAGCCUGAUUUCACUUUGUAUUGUCCUUUCUCAUCAUAGUAAUUGAUAUUUUGGUUAUCUAUCUAAUCUACUCGGUUGUUCAUGUUGACAAUUUUUGUUGAACUUAUACAGUGUAUUUAAUGAACCUAUGAGAUGUGCAUUUAUUGGCCUGAUAAUAUUAUAGGACAAAUAAUAUGUUCAUAAGUUCAUAUUAUAAAGUUUGUCAAAAUCAACACUAAUGUUCGUCAAAUUUGGGGUAUAAUCAAUAAAAUGCCAACUAAUGAGAAAUCUUGAAAGAUAUCAAAUUCUCGAUACACGUAUUAGAGUAUAUAGAAUGUGGGUUGUUUACCAUAAUUCAUUCAUUCUGCAAGCAGAAAAAAAUAUUUAACACGUUCAGACGUUUGUUCGUAUGACGUAUCUGUUGAACAAUUAAUUAAUCAAAUAUAUUGAACGAGACAAUAAAUAAACUAAAGAAACAUAAACAAAAUGUCAAUUUCUAUGGAAUAUGUUUUAACCGACACAAUUGGUUCAGCAAAACAUAGGUCAUGUUCAUCUUUUCUCAUCAAAGUUAUUCCAUGAAUCAAACUAGAUAAAGCUGAACAAAAACAUGGUCACCAAAAAUUCAGUUCACAACUGUGAAUAUAGAACGUUCAAUAAAACAAUAUAAAUGAACUUAUAAUACCCAAAACUGAUGAACUGUGAUAUUAUGUUCUACUUCUAUUUCUAAAAAAACGUAAAAUCAAUGUAUUACCUGAUGAGUCCAUGGAAGCCAUACUAUUUUAUCUUUUUUGUUCGGAGAAUGGCGGUAGUAUGAUGAAAGGCAGAAACUAAAGAAAAAAAGGUAAAAUGUUGAAACGUAUCUUACCCUAAAAUAUGCUAUAAUUAAUUUGAUGUCAUUGCUAUAAUUAAGGGAUAUUAUUAAAGUAAAAUUAAAAUGGCAUCCUUGAUCGUGUACUGAUGGAUUAAUCACAGUCAAUGUAAUGGAUUAAUCACAGCCAUUCGAUGAAGCAUUUUAAAGGGGUGAGAUUAUUUCUCUAUUAUUUGCAAAUAUUUAUUUUCUUGUAGAACUUUCCCAUAUAUAUAGGGGGGCGCUCCAGUGAGACCCCCUAUUUUUCGUGUAACAUGAGUACAAUGAAUAAGACAUAUAAUACUAAUGAACAAAAUGUAUAUCUAAUGAACAAGAUGUAUAUACUGAUGAAAAAUAAAAUUUAAAAAAAUCAUAAUGAAUAAGACAUAUAUACUGAUGAACAGGGCCGUAUAUACUGAUGAACAAUGCAGUAUAUACUGACGAAUAACAAAAUUUAAAAUAUUCUGCUCCCUCCAGGAUUCGAACCCUGCGAAAAAAAACACCCUCAGAUACAAUAUCAGCCAUAGGAUGAUAAAAUAAACGCACCAGAUCGUGCCCUAGAUCUCACUAAAAUUAGGGGGUCUCAUUGGAGGCCCCUAUAUAACAUCCAUAACGAAUAAAACAAAUCUAUCAGAUCUAACCUAUCUUUAAUUUAAUUGUAAUAUUUUUUAAAUCUUAUUUUAUAAUCAAAAGGUUAAGCAUGUCAUUUUCUAUUUAACCCUAAUCUCACUCCUCCAACCUCUCUCUCUCUCUCCCUCGACAUGCCUCUUGCUCCCUGACAGCAGCAGCGGCCGUCCAGCCCCCACCAGAUCUGGCGCAUGAUUCCUUUUUCGACCGGCAGAAACGGUCGCCGUCGCCGCCACCGUGACAGGCAGCAGCAGUCGGCAGGCCGCCGCCUCCCCUGCUUCCCUCUGUCUGGCUUGACUACAGCCAUUCUCCAAUAUUCAUCUCUAAAUCCUUCAUCCCCGCCACCUUCCCAAUCGCCUCCAUCUCUCCUGCUGCUGCUCCGCCGCCUCCCCAAUCGCCUCCAUCUCUCCUCCUGUUGCUCCGUCGCCUCCUCCUCUGCUCCGCCUCCCCAAUCGUCGUGGGCGCCUCCUCCUCUGCUCCGCUAGUUCAUGCACUCAUCUGUACUUCGAUCGGCGGCAGCAACGACCGCAAAUCCGCCCAGCCGCCGCCUCCCUUUUUCAGAUCUUACAUUGCCGUCGCCGCCCUUGCUCCUCCGGUGAGGACGCCGCCUAUCGCCCUUGUUCAUCGAUUUUUUCCAUGUGUUCAUCGAUAUUUUUGUACUGUAUUCGUAGAAAAAUAUAAUGAACAUGAUAAUGUUCAUUGUCAUGUUUGUAGUGUGUUCGUAGUGUGUUUGCAGAAAAAAAAUAAAUGUUCAUCGAUUUUUUUGUACUGUGUUCGUUGAAAAAUAAAUGAACAUGAUAAUGUUCGUAAAAAAACAAAUGAACAUACUAAUGUUCAUCAAUAUGUUCGUAGGAAAAUAAAUGAACAUACUAAUGUUCACCUAUUAUGUUCAUUGACGGAUCAGGUCCCAGAAUUGGAAGAGAGUAAUUUUCGGGAUUUGUUCAACCAGAUGCCAUAAUUCGUGGAUUUGAGUGGACGUUUUUGCCCUUUUUGGAUUAAAUAAAUGUAAUUAACCAAUAUUUAAUUACAUGAAAAAUCAAAUCAGGAAAUAAUCUGGAUCAUUGAUUGGAUUGAGAUGAAUGGCCUUGAUUUGGUCUUCAUUCUCUAUAUAAGAAGUGGUCUCCAUAGAAUGCGACCCUAUAUAUAUAUAUAUAUAUAUAUAUAUAUAUAUAUAUAUAUAUAUAUAGGGAGAGAUUCAAAUAAGAACCACUAAAUAAAAUUAAAACAGAGAACCAUUUUAAACCAUUCGAUCAUCAAGAUCUACGGUGGAUGUAUCAUCUUGGUGGAUGAAUGCAAAUCCUGGGUUCGAAUCCUGAAGGGAGCAAAAAAUUUAUUAUUAUCGGAUGCAUUAAUUUAUAUAGUAUAUGCAUUGAUUUUAAUGGUUCUUAUGUUCUUGAAAAAUUCUCUCUCUUGAGAAGUCAAAAAAGGAGGAUAUCACGCCGGAUAUCCCUCCCUCGAAUCCCUCCCACCGGGCUGCCGCUCGCCGGCGUCGCGAGCCAGCCGCCCGUCGCCGACCACGUCCCUGCUCUCUUUGCCGCCUGUCUCGCUUCCUGUUCCGGAGACCUCGCGCCGCCGCAGCUUUGAGCCUCGGAGCACGCAGCAGCAGUCUCCGUCCAUCACGCACCAGCAGCCUCCGGACAGCAAGCAGCAGCACCCUCCGGCCAGCACGCAGCAUCAACCUCAGAGCAUCUUCGAGAUUGGAGAGCACGCUGCUGCGUACUGUUCACCAACGACCUCCACCAUAAGUUGUUGCUGCUGCUGCACGGCGGUUGCAGGCACCAUCAGCCGAUCUGCAGCAGGCGACUAUCCUCCGGCUCCGGCUCCAUAGCCGAUCUGCAUCAGGUGAUCUGCAGCGGGUGUAAGUUGACUAUCGGAUUUCACCUCCGAUUCCCAAUCAACGGCGACCGGACUGUUACCACAGCCACCCGGCGUUAGCCUCUCUAUGCUUAAGGAAUAUGCAGUUCUUUGCUGAGAUUGCCGGCACGCCGUCGAACGUCCACCAACCGAUGCCGCCAACGUCGCCGAUCAAUCCACCGACGCCAACGAUACAAAUCAACCAACAACAGCCGAUAAUGGUUGAUAAGGCAGGGCUGAAUCUGCCGCAAGUUUCCAAUAAUUUCUCUACUCAACGUCAUAGCCAUGGAGAAUGUCACGACAAAGAGAAAUUUGAUGUUGAAUCUUCAAAGGGUGUGGCUGAGGAAUCUACGCCGACGUCUUUUGCUGGUAGAACUUCUGGAAAUUCACAGGAUCAUAAAAUCACUACAUCCAAUACUAACGUUUCGGAUUUGAUCAAGGGAGACAAUACUAAGAAGGCCUCGGCGACGGAGUUUCACCGACCGAGCACCACUUCUUUGCUUCACUUCUGAGGAGACCCCGACAAAUUGAACGUACGCCGGAUGUGCUUGUUCAUCGAUUCACUUCACUGCAACCGGAUUUCUCUGGUGAAAUACCCACGCUUAGGGUCCCAAAAGAGCAUCUGCUGCCCAAAAUAAAUCAAUUUGAGCAUGCUUUAAUUGGUCGUCUUCUACUGAGGAAAGGAGAGAAGCCGCGUCUUCUCACUGAUCUUAAACGUGAUCUUCAGGUGGCUUGGAAUAUUGACAAGGAUUGGCAAAUCAUCCCCAUGGGAAAGAGCUUCUACACUAUUAAAUUUAAUACCGCUGAAGACAAGGCGUUUGGAUGCGCAUUUAUUAUUUGCCCUUAGAAUUUUGGACUCUGGAUGUUAUUACGGGUAUUGGAAGGGCGAUGGGAUCGCCUAUUAAAGUUGAUGGAGCUUCUGCACGUGGUGCUGCUGGACAUUAUGCUCGAAUUUUGUUGGAAAUUGAUCUCUCGCGUCCUCUUCCGGAGGCUUUGCUGGUUGACGGGGAAGAACGUACCUUUCACGUCGAAUUUGAAUUCGAACAACUCCCGGCCUUCUGCUCUAAGUGUAAGAUCACUGGACAUUCUAUUGAUAACUGCAAUAAAAUGAAGAACAAAUCCAGCGAGGACAGCAGGAAUGGGAAGGCCAAAGAUAUGUUGCUGGGUAAAGACAAGGAAAUAAUUAAUAAGGGAGCUGCCAAUGAGGUUAGGGCACCUAACUGGAAGCCAAAAUCUUGGGACCAGAAUAGGACUGCCCAACCUCACAAACCGCAGAUUAUCACUGAAAAUCAGUUUGGGGUUUUGGAACAGGUGGCUGUCGAAGAAGAGCAGAUUCUAAAUCAGUUGGGGGUUUUGGAACAGGUUGCUGUUGAAGAAGAGCAGAUUCAGACACCGUGGGAAACAAAGAACCACAAUCAGUCGUUUGCUUUAACUGAUCGGAAUGUUGAUUUUGAGGAUGUCAAUGGAGAUAGAUUGACGUCGGGUCCGGAUAUCUUACAGGCGAUCACUGUGCCGGUUACGGAAGAGAUAGAUUCGGGAGAGGAGUCUGAUGGGCAGUCGGAUGAUGGCAAGACACGGGCUGAAGCAGAUUCACAACAGAUCGUCAUUUACGAAAGUUCGGUCAAUCGGGAUAAAAAUUGUGAGAAACAGGAAAGGAUGAUGGAAAGCGCUAUCAAAGCUCAGCGGAUAGUGGAAACUUUCAGGAAUUGUGAGGCGGAGGCGCAGGUGAAAAAAAGGGGGAGACCGCCGAAAGAUUUAGCGGCAAAGAAUCCGAUUAUUCGUGGGGAAGAUAGUAUCAAGAGUCGUCUCCGGAAGUCGGUGGAGCAACAACCUCACCAGCAACCUAAUCAACAGGCUGAAGAUUUCAUCAAAAAUAAACUUUACAAAGCUUGGGAAGCAGGAGAUAAACCUAGAGAUUUCAUUAUUACGUCUGGGAGCUCGAAGAAUGAUACAGCCCUGAAUAAUGUGGCAGCCAAGAGUUGGGCAGCUGAAGUGGAAUCGGGUGAAAACCCGAACACGAAUUCUCAGUCUUUAUGAUGAAUGUCCUCGUAUGGAAUGUCCGGGGCCUUACGGACGAGUCCAAACGAGUUUUAAAGGAGCAUUGCGACUCCUUCUCCCCUGUUAUUGUUGGGAUUAUUGAGCCUAAGACGAAUCUCAAGAAGACUUACUCUAGAUUUUGGCGUUCUCUGAAUCUUAUUCCUUGUUUUCAAAAUUCAAGAAACAACAUGAGUUCGAAUAUUUGGGUUUUUCUCUAUCCUUCUGUUACUCAUGAUGUCAUUUUCUCCUCGUAGCAGGUGGUUAUCAUGAACUGCAGAUGGUCGACGUGGAAUUUUAAAAUUGCGGUGGUGCAUGGCGUUAACACGUAUGCUGGCAGACGGCGCUUGUGGUUGGAUCUUCUGGAUCAUAUUGAUGGUAAUGUUGUCUUUAUUGGCGAUUUUAAUGCGGUGAAAGGCGCCCAUGAAAGAAGUAGUGACUGUAUGCCUAACUCUACUUCUUGUGCGGAGUUCUGUGAUUUCAUUGAAGCCUCCGGUUUCAUUGAGGCGCCUACGGUUGGUCUGCAUUAUACGUGGUCUGGUCGUAGAUUUAUGCCAACCCAUGUGGAGUCUCGUCUGGAUAGAGCGAUUUAUGCUGACUCUUUUGCGAAUCUCUGGAGUUCGGUUUUUGUUCAAGCUCUUCCACGUAUUACCUCGGAUCAUUCGCCGCUUGUUCUUCAUUGCAUGGUGGAUGCUCCUCCUCGCCAUCGUUUCUUUAAGUUCCUUAACAUGUGGACCUUACAUCCGGAUUUUCUCAAUACAGUGGAAGGGUCCUGGCAGAUGGAUACCGAGAUUGGCUGCCCGAUUUUUAAAGUAUGCAUAAAUUAAAGCGUCUUCGGCAGNUAAAUAAUAUAUAAUAUCAUAUACAACUACUAUAUAUAUAUAUAUAUAUAUAUAUAUAUAUAUAUAGGGGGCGCACUCCAGUGAGACCCUCUAUUUUUCGUGAAACAUAAGGACAAUGAAUAAGACAUAUAAUACUAAUGAACAAGACGUAUAUCUAACGAACAAGAUGUAUAUACUAAUGAAAAAUAAAAUUUAAAAAAUUGGUAAUGAAUAAGACAUAUAUACUGAUGAACAAGGCGGUAUAUACUGAUGAACAAUGCAAUAUAUACUGAUGAAUAACAAAAUUUAAAAUAUUCUGCUCCCUCCAGGAUUCGAACCCUGCGAAAAAAAAUCACCCUCCAGAUACAAUAUCAGCCAUAGGAUUGAUGAAAUAAACGCACCAGAUCGUGCCCUAGAUCUCACUAAUAUUAUAUAUAUAUAAUAUAGGGUGUGAUUCUAGAGAGAACUACAUUAUUUGUGAGAACGUGAGAACCAUCAAAUCUAAUGCAAUCACUGUAAAACUUAAUGCAUUCGUUGUUAAAAUUAAUGCACUCAAAAAAAUAAAAAUAAAAUUGCUCCCUUCAGGAUUCGAACUCAGGAUCUGCAUUCAUCCAACAAGAUGAUGCAUCCACCAUAGAUCUUGAUGAUCGAAUGGCUAAAAAUGGUUCUCCGUUCUUCUUUUAUUUAGUGGUUCUUUCUUGAACCUCUCCCUAUAUAGGGGAGUGUUCCAAUGAGAUCCCCUUAUAUGUGGUGAGAUCUUAGAUUGAUUUGUAAGUGUUGAUUUAAUAUAUUUUAUGACUGAUAUUUGUUUGGAGGGAGGAAAAUUUUACCAUGGUUCGAAUCUUGGAGGGAGCAAAAAUUUUACUAAUUUUUUGAAUAUCGUAACAACACUAAAUACCGUCUUAUUCAACAUUAUAUACUGUCUUAUUCAUUAAUCUCACGAAAUAUAACAAUCUCACUAGAACCUACCCCUAUAUAUAUAGGGUGUGGUUCUGUAGUUCUAGAGAGAACUACAUUAUUUGUGAGAACGUGAGAACCAUCAAAUCUAAUGCAUCCACUGUAAAAAUUAAUGCAUUCGCUGUUAAAAUUAAUGCACUCAAAAAAAUAAAAAAAAUUGCUCCCUUCAGGAUUCGAACCCAAGAUCUGCAUUCAUCCAACAAGAUGAUGCAUCCACCGUAGAUCUUGAUGAUCGAAUGACUGAAAAUGGUUCUCCGUUAUUAUUUUAUUUAGUGGUUCUUUCUUGAACCUCUCCCUAUAUAUAUAUAUAUACACACACACGACAAGGACUAUAAGAUAUCAUUCGUUUCAACUAACAUAUCUGUUCAAUUUUUUAUAUAUACAUUUUUUGAUAAAAUUCAAGCUCUAGAAAAUAAUCUAAAUACUUAUGACUUACAUUUCAUUUUAUUAAAGCUCACUCAAAAUAUUCAAUUAUAAAUGGGUUAUUGGCUUCAAAAUACAUGAACUUUAGGCAUUUAUUUGGUUUUUCCCAUCAACUUUCAAAGUUAUCAAAUAAUACAUCAACUUUAAGGUUUGUUGGAAAUUGACACCAUCCAAGUUUUGAAUAUUCAAAAAAUCACCCCAUUCAAAAAAUUUAUUGUGCAAAUACCCCACUUGAUCAAUAAAUUGCUAAUUGCCUUGUUAAAAUAAUUCUUUAUUUUAUAACACCCACGGCCACGCUUGCCACAAAAUGGUAUCAGAGCGGAUUUUUAUAGAGGAAUUAUAUUAUAUUUAAUUUAUUUUGUAAUAAACCCAAAACUGGGAGGAGACUCCAUUAAAAUUAUAAAUCCGGACGAGUGUCCGAGAUGUAUUGUAUAUAGGAAUUCUCUUCAAAAUUUAGAGAGAGAAACUACUCGUCUAUUAGACGACCUCAACUGGAAUAAUAAAGACCUCGUAACGAACAUUCGUCGAGGAGAAGAUGGAGAGAUUAUUCAUGAUAUCCUCACGAGUAUUUAGUUCUACCAUGAACGCCUUAUAGAAAUCGCCGAGACCAGAACGGUAAUUGAACGAGUAAAAGAUGGCGCCCAUCAGUCACACGACUAAUGGAGCAGAAGGACAAAGCUGGAACAGCCUAUCCAGCUUAUCAAAAGAUGGAGCCAAACUCUUCCGACAAUGUCAACUUGCAGGAGAUUCAGAGAACGGUGGAAUAUUAUGGCAACAAGCUAUAUGAUCUACCGAUGGAGAUGAGCCAAAUAUCACUCAAACAAGAGGAAAUCCUAAAACUCUUGCGUGAUAUUCAGGAAAAAAUGGAGGAUAUAGAAAGGCGAAAAUCAUGCUCUGGAAAAAUCCGGAAUACAUGGUCCAAAGACCCAACUUAUCCGCUACCAUUUAAUGCAGCCGGAGGACAUAAUUCGAAUCGUGAAAGGAAAAACCUAUGAAUAACCCUAAUCGAAUCGGAUUAGAGGAUCUACAAGAGUUAGCAGAAUCAUUUGCUAACCUAAAUAUGGUGAUCUAAAGAUAACAGGAGGGAGUGCCCAAACAGAGCACCCCAAGGAAUCUCCAGGAAAGGUGGGCUCGUGAAGAAUCGACAUUAUCAAAACCAGAAGAGCCGCCCAAGUGCAGACACUCUGUAAGGGAAGCCACACUUGAACCAAUCCAUCCUAUACGGAUUAUUCUCAACCUCGAUGAAGCACUUUAAAGAUUGGGAAGUUCUCAUCGAUGACUGGCUUCAGCUAUGAAGGUGUGAUUGCAGAUAGAAUAUGAUAGAAAUGAAUUUAUCAAAAUCUUCGAGGCAAGUUUUGCUGGAAUGCAAAACAAUUUGGAUAAGGCAUCAACGAGGCUAAAAUGAGUUGUUCACCAAAAAUCAGCUCUGAAAUCCUUGAAAAUCCGCCCACAGAUUAAAAUCCAUUUUCUUGGAAUGGUUUCUUUGAAGCAUCAGGAGAAGAGAACGUAAAAAAUAUCGACAACACUUUACAAUCUAAGAUUGGAGUGUGGAGCAAAAGCUCUUGAGAAUUCUUGCGCCUAUAUGCCCUAUAUUCCAUAUGGGUUAGUUGAUGAUCAGACAGCCAGGACCUUUUUUCACAAAGUUUCCGAGUCCAUGGAGGGAAAUGCUCAUCAACGAGUAGUAUCACCAGGAGAAUAUCCACUUGAUAGUGCAUCAAGAAGGAUGUCAUAUGUUCACAAGAAGCUGUCCGAAUGGUGCCAGAAGCGGGACCAGAGAAAUCUCAAGAAAUUGAGAGGCUCAAUAAAGAAUCUCCAUUGAUGUGCAACAAUCUUGACCUUCAACAGAGUUGGGGCUAUUGUAUCAACAAGGAAAAGAAGAAACUAGGUAUCAACCCUAUAAAGAAACCAAGAACAAGCGAGUUUUGGAAGCCAAGAACAUGUGGACCGAGAAGGCACGCUCCUACAAAUCAGGAACGGAGGGACCAUCAAGAGCCAUUCUCUUUUCAAAAAAGAACUCCGGCAAGAAAACUUUCAGGCACCCAAGCCAAACAAAUGAAAGUUUAAGAUUGCAACUGGAGUGCGUGCAAAAGGGAUAUUUCUACCAAUUGCCCGACAACAGAAAAGAGGGAUAAGGAAAUUGAAUCCACACCGAUAUCGAAGACGCCCUCUAAACCAAGAACUGAUACGUGAUAGUUCAAGAUAUAUCCUCUGAUGAGAGUAUAUACGAGCAAGAAGAAGUCUUUAGUUCUAAAGAUUCGGAUAUGACUGAUGGAUCAUCCGGAGACGAGUCAAACUAAGGAGGACGAGGUUAUCCACUUUCAAAAGGAGGAUUAGGAGGGAUAUACCAACCAUUCCCUGAUCCCACAGAAAAAUGUGGUGGAAAAACUCGUGACAAAACUCAAGAACAAAACCAUGGAUAUACAAACGUUCCAAGGGUUUUCAAGAGGAAGAUUGGAUUAAGUUCUACAAAGCUUGAGUCCAUUCAAAAGGAAGCAUCAUGUCCUCUUCGGUACAAUGAGUCGGGAGUUGGCGCUUCCAAUAGAAAUAACGAACAACCAAGUAGAGAUCCAAUUAAUUCCACGAAGAUGUGCGAGGAUCUUAAAAAUGAAGCAGAAGUCGCUAGAACGAUGAAAUGGAUUAUAUUGGAGCAAUCCAAUUGGUAAUCAAGUCCUCAGUCCUCACUUUCACCAGGACAGAUACAAAUGAUAUUGCAAUUGUGACAAAGGAUUACAAAUCCAAGAGAUGCAGUCUGGGAGUCUUCUCAGGCAAUCUCUACCCAAGAAGAUUGUAACCGAAUUAUACCCAAGAUCGCUUAUAAUCUUCAAGAUCAGCCUUCAGUCAGCCCUGACACUCUACCAGCUACAAGAGGAAGAUCUAUUGACGGAGAAAUAGCCGUACUCGAUUACAUAUCAAGUAUCAUAUGCCUAUCAAAUUCCACCACACGAUUUAUUUCGGGGAAGAAUUUUAUUGAAGUCCAGAAGUAUUCAAAGAGUAGCCAAGCAAUUAGCCCGACCGAGUUGAAAUUCCCAAAAUAAGGAAAUUGACAUCCAAUGAGAUAACAGUGCUGAAACAUAAUCAAAGUCUCAGAUUGGGAGCACCGAGGCUAUCGUUCCAAGGAGAUAGGCUGACCUCAAGGCCUUUAGAAAGAAGUUUCUCUCAUUCCUACGAAGAAAGCGAUCCAGGAAAACCAGCUCAAGGCAUAAGAGUGAAACUCAAAUGCCCGAAGGAUGGAGAAUGUUUCCACAAGUUUGAUACAACCGAAAGGAAAAAUCAGUUUCCUUGCAACACGUUGUACUAUUUGGCAAAUCCAGAAAGCAAUCAUAUAUCACUUCUGGAGAUUGGAGGCUUUGAGAUCCAGUCGAGCAAAGCCGGACAAGAAGCUGAGUCCUGAUCUUAGGACGAAAUUUCUUGAAAUUAUCAACCAUGGCAAGGAAAUCAAGGGGGUGGAGAUCACAAUCGCGAAAAGAGGUUGUGAUCCAAUGACAGUCCAUUUCGAUCUACAUCUCUGUGGGGAUGUUAUACGAGAAGUUCAAAGAAGAAUAUUUUGCUGCUUAUACUGAUUCAGGAGCAGGAAUCUGUACAACGAAACGAGGAGUCUUUCCAACAUAAGUGGAAGAAGAACUGCCUCGAAUUGCUCAAAGAAGAUUUUGCUCUUAUCAAAUGGAGUAAAACAGACAGAAAUAUUGAUCGGGGGAGCAGGACAAACACCUUGAUACAAGGUUAAGACUCCACCCAUCUAUUUCCAUGAUACAGGAGCAGAUAUCCUGUUCGGAAAUAAUUUUCUGCAAACCUUCAAAAGGUAUACACAGGACAAUGAAGCCAGAAGGCUUAUGUUCACAACUAAUUAUGACCACAAAAUCAUUGUGCAAAGGCUCGAAGGAGCUUUUAAUCGCUCGAUGCCAGUCAAAUUCCGCAGCAAGCGUGGCGAUGAUGAUGGCAGACUCCGGACACCACAAAUGAAGGAUCAACGGAGAUUCAGAGAUGUUCUGCUUAAAUGCAGAGCCGAGGGAUUUCCAGAUCUCUCCGAGGAAGAAAUACAAAUCCUCAAAGUGUCUUUAAUAUCACACAAAGAUAUUAGAGAAUAAUAACAUGUGUCCAUAGCCGACAUCAAGAGGAGAAUCCAGAAGUGUUAUCACGAGGAUCCUUUAGCAUGGUGGGACAAGAACCAGCUCAAAGCUACAUUGAAAGUUAAAACUGGAAAGGAGCAUGAGUUUGUAAGGUUUAGACCCAUCCUGAUGAACACUCAAGAUCAGUAGGAUAUGAGGAGCAUAAUCAAGGAACACCUUGAUUUAAAGUUGAUCGAACCAGGAAACUCACCUUACAGCAGUCCUGGAUUUCUAGUGAGAAAUCAUGGGGAGAUCAAACGAGGAAAACCAAAAUUGGUCAUUAAUUACAAAGGGAUUAAUGACAUUCUUGAGUUCGAUGGAUAUUUCAUCCCGAGCAGAGAACACCUUAUCAACUGCAUCAGAAGUGCAAACGCAAAGUUUGAUUGCAAAUCAGGGUUUUACCAGAUUAGCAUGGAGGAAGGGAGUAAGAAGUUCACGGCCUUCUCAAUUCCACAAGGACAUUAUGUCUGGAAUGUCAUGUCAAUGGGGCUAGCCAACGCACCUCAGAUAUUCCAAAGAAAGAUGGAUAAUCUUUUUAAGGAUUAUUCUUCAUUCAUGUUUGUUUAUAUUGAUGAUAUUCUUAUUGCAUCAAAAGACAUUCACGAACAUGUCAGGCAUCUGGAAAUCUUUGCGGAGGUUUGUCAACAAGAAGGAUUGGUGCUGUCUGAAAAUAAAGCAGUCGUGGCAACCCAGAAGAUGAAAUUUCUGAGAAUCGAGAUCGAUGAGUCUAGGAUAAUUCUACAAGAUCAUAUUGUGGAAAAGGUCCAGAAAUUCCCAGAAAUUCUCAAAGAGAAGAAGCAGCUCCAAAGCUUUCUGGGAGUUGUUAACUUUGCAGGGAUGUUCAUCAGAAACCUUGCAGAGCAUAGGAAAAUCUUCAGUCUUAUACUAAAGAAAGAUGUUCCAUUCGUAUGGAAGGAUGAACAUCGCGAGGGUAUGAAAAAGCUAAAAGAGAUUUGCAAAAAUCUCCCAAAGCUUUCAAUACCACAAGAUGAGGACGAACUAGUCCUAUACACCGACGCGAGUAAUUUCUGGUAGGGAUGGCAAUCGGGUACGACGGGUACGGAUAGUGACUAUCCAUACCCAUACCCACGAACUAAAUGGAUAGUGGUUUCUAACCACGAAACUAUCCAUGGAUAUCAAAUGGUAUCCAAACCCGCUACCCGCGGAUAUCCGUUACCCGUCGGGUAUCCGCGAACCCGCUAUCCGACGGGUAUCCGUCACCCGCUAUUUGCCGGAUAAAAACGACUGUGUUAAGGGCAUAGGGGAAUCAGGGUUUAGGUUUAGCUGAAUAUUAGACUUUGGGCCUUAUUGUCCGGGCCUAUUUUAAGAUAUAAAAUGCUAGCCCAUAAUCUCAAAAUAUAUAUUCAAAGCCCAUAUUUUAUAGAAUUUUUUGUGGAUAUUUGAUGGGUAAUUGACGGAUAAUUGACGGGUAAUUUUCGCGGGUAAACGGGUUUCGCGGGUAUGGAUAGUAAGUAUCCAAACCCAUACCCACGAACUAAAUGGAUAGUGAAUUGCAACCAUGAAACUAUCCGUGAAUAUCAAAUGGUAUCCAAACCCACCCUAAUGGGUUCGGGUUUUCGCGGAUAUCCGCUACCCGCGGGUAGAUUGCCAUCCCUAAUUUUUGGUGGGCAGCUGUGCUCACUAAAAUCACCCCUUAUGGAGAGGAACCAUGCAGAUACUGUAGCGGUCUCUUUUCCGACAGUGAGGCUGUGCGAUGGCACAUCAACGAGAAUGAGUUCUAUGCAGUUAGAAAGGCGUUUAAAAAAUUUAUCUUGAAAAUCUUUACUUGCGAAGAAAUUCGUUUUGAAAGUCGAUAACACUAAUGUUAAGGCUUUCUUAACCAAGAAAAUAGAAUCUAAACCUGAAAAAGC